CUUUUUUUUUUUUUUUUUUUUUUUGGCUUCUUUUAUUAUCUGUAAUAGUCUUGGAGUUCUUGGAAUUAAUACAGAAAUUAAUGGGGUAGAGAUGAAAUCACGGAGAGCAAGUGAUGUGGUCCAUCAAUAGUUGAUUCCUGCAUGUCUUUUCGUGUUAUUUCUUCAACCAAAAAAGGAGGAGUCAAAAGAAUUAGUACUAAUAGACAACAAGUUGGUUGAAUAAGUUGCUCAAAGUAACGUUGGAAAUUGACAUAAUUUAAAUUAGCAGCUAGCCUGAUCUUGAUCUCACGAGAACCGUCAUUCAAUGAAAACUUUUUGCAUGGACGCAGAUCCAUCGGCAGUUCUCUUCUGCUGCUUCUUUCUUUUAGCCGUCUAAUUAUUCCUCAAAGCAAUUUCGUUUCUUUUUUCCCUUCUCUUUUUCAAAACUUGCCUGUCUGGCUCUACUAUUCUUAUCCUCCUUCCUUUUUUUUUUUUUACACCAGCAAAUUUAUUUAUUUAUUUUUGGGGUUUUGGGUAUGUAGGUAGCUGGGCUAGCAACGUUGGGUAUGAAUCUAAAGGAGAGAUGGAUGUUGCAUGUUGGUGCAGGUGACAUAAAGAAUUUCAAGUCCAACCUUAGAUUAAGAAUUUCUGUUCAUUACUUUUCCUUUUAUCUAAUUAACAGAAGAUUCCUUUUCCCGAGUUUUUGUCUUCUCUAGGAAAAGGUAAUAAGGAGACAGCGGAUAAGCUGUGAGAGGAUGAGAAGAACGGAAGAGGAAGAGGAAGACUACUGGGUAAAGUAUCUCCUAUCACAUAUACGGUACUACUACUUAAUUAGUACCGUAUAAUAAUAAUUAAAUAAAAAGGCACUGCAUCUUCCAUCUUCAAUCCGCAUCCAUCCCUAUUAACUUCAGUCGUUUUUGCAUUUAUAUAAAAUGCGUGAAGAAACUACCAACUGUCUGUACUACCAUCCCUCUACCAACCUAACCCAUUAUUAUCUUCGUCAUGAGCUACCCACCCAACCAACAGAACCCCCCCCCCCCCCCCCCGGGGCGGAGACCCACAAAAACCAAAAUAUGAAGGAAAAAAAAAGGGGUGGGGGUGGGGGGGUUUCCAAACUUCGUCCUAACACAUAAGUUGACACACGUCUGGAAAUUAAAACACUAAUAGGGAGAUUUAAUUAAAACCUCUCGUGAGUGUGUGUGUGUGUGUGUGUUUUUUUUUUUUGGUUCCUCCCUUUUCUGCAUUUAGAUUAGCAAGCAUUCCGAGUAGACUUAUGAUUUGAUCCACUGUCAUCGACGGUUGAUUCUCUCCUGUAGUAAUAGUAAGUAUUCCAAGAUAUAUUGAUGCGCGCGUUUACUAGUUAAGUUACUACGAGUGAUAAAUGUUUGCAUGUCAUAUGGUUAUUACGAGUUUGGGAUUAAAAUUUAUAACGCUUUUUUUUAAAAAAAAAAAAAAAACCUUUUGGAAAGACCAACUUCUUUUGUUAAGUACGAAUGGUUUUUUCCUCGAUGAAGCUAAAUAACGCUGCACGGAGGAAAGCAGAAUUUGCUAUACUUUCUGGAACCUAAUGCUCGCUUUGCCUAUGCAAUGCAAGGGUUCCUCUUCCCCCUUCCUUCCUCAUGAUGAAAGCUUGCAAAAAUCCUGUACUCUUGGCAUAAAGCAGCUGCGGUCAAAACGAGAAUAGGAAAUUGAGGGUGGAAAACAUACGCUCACUUGAAUAGGUGAUCGAUCUGCACAGUCUUAUAUAUCAUUCUAAAAGCUUUUUCGCAAGUUUUAGUCAUCUUCAUGACUUCAUCUUCUUCAUACUGCUUGACCAACUAAAGAAAAGUUUUAUUUACUUUAAGCAUUAACUAGUCGGGGACUUGAAUGUAGCAAAAGUAGUAUCGUGAUCCUGCAACCUAAGUUUUCUUCAACUGAAAAUAUAUUCUUAUUUAGGAAAAUGGAAAAAAAAAAAAAGAAGAAGAGGAGGAAAUUAAGGUGGGAAGGAAGAAGAACAAUUACUAUAUAAGAGCGAAAACAACAUGUUUAAAAUGAAAAAAAGACUAAUUUUGGAUGCUCAGCUCAGCUAUGUAUUAUCUUAUCCCCAUUAGUAUGUAUGUAUGCAUGGAUGCAUGGAUAGAUUAUUUUGGUUUUCAGGGUCUUCCCUCUCUUCGUCUGGCCUAAGUAAAAGGGUAAAAACUAAGAGAGGCCUUGAAAAAAAGGGAAAACAAAGGCCCCUUGGCAUUGGCAUAAUUGUGGAAAAUUCACAAGGAGACGAUUCAUACACCUAGGACUAGUGUACCUUUUUAUUUUAAUCCUUUCUUUCCUCCAAUCCUUUACCCUUUUUCAAAGGUGUUAGGUAGACACAUUAGAAGCUUCCAUAAGAUAUUUUUUUUCCUCUCACUUUCACUACCCAAAGAAAAAUUGCUUAACAAGGCUUAGGGGGCCUAUCUUUUUCUUUCUUUCUUUCUUUUGUCAAAAAAAUAAUAAUAAUAAUUGCAUGCCUCUCUCUCUCAAUGUAUUAAUGGGGUAAUUAUUGUUCUCUACCUAAAUAUACAAGUUCGGAGUCCCCAGCUCCCCGCCAACAUCACAUGCAGGACCCUCCCCCCCCAUCAAAGAUCAAAGUAUCUAUAUAACCACUCAUUCAUUUCGCCAUUAAUUAAAGCUGCAUGAGAUUUGUUUUGUCAUCAUAGUUUAGUACUUACUACUGAGUGUCUGAUUAGAUUGGAACGGCCAACGCACCAUGCAAACAAUACAUGCAUCUUCUAUCCUCCCUUCAGCAUCCAAAGAAUACGUUUUGACUUUUUGUCCAUCCUUCCCUGAGGCCCCCAUAGAGGACAUGGGACGUCUCAUAACGACUAGCGCAGGUUUGAUUGGAGCAUGCAAUGGAAGUUUGAUUGGAGCUAGCUCGCGCAGGUUUAAUUCUUUUGACAACGGAAACUUUCUUUAACCAUAAGUUGUUGCGUGCAUGGUCAAAUGGAUUAGACCCGUCUGCUACUACUCACAGUGUUUGAUUUUUAAUUCUUGAAAUCCGCUCCUCUUCCACACCAUCCUCACAAUAAUUAGCAAAGAAAGCCAAAAAAAAAUGAUACUACCAUCCUUGGUUUAGUUGGGGCCGUAGCAAGCGAGAGAUGAUUUAAAGUAAACAAAGCACUUGUGGACUAUCAUCAUUGACGAUGAUGAGAGUGACUUGGUACUUAAAAUUACCUCAGGGUACGUUUGGUUCUACAGAAUUAGAAUUGAAAUUCUAUAGAAUUGGAAUUCUAUGAAUUGAAAUUUCAAGUCAUUGAAAUUCUUUUGUUUGGGAAAUACAUAGAAUUGAUAUAGAAUUCAUUCAACGAAUUUGCUUAUCUUAUCGGCCAAAUCUCCCACGCUGUUGAUGUAAACUUGUCAGCUUUUUUUUUUUUUUUUUUUUUUACUUUUCUUCGCCACAACCGGAAAAACAAAUAUCGGUCCUCAUGUUGUUGUUGCGUGCUUUCCUUUUCUUUACCACGUUUCGUUUUUGGGUUUUUCUUGGUAGGGGGCCGGGGGAGAGGGGGCGGGGUGUGGGUUGAGUUGCUCGCCCAGCCCAUUCCCGUUCGGGGCUCCACUUCUCAUGGGCUCGCUUGCGGCGGAGGGUCCCAUCCCAUCAGCUGACGCCACCCCCAACCCUCUUCAGACUUCAGAGCGUAAAAGUCCAUGGUACCCGCCGGUACAGUAAGUUUCUGCCUUAAAUUGCCCAUUCGAUUUCCGUACCACCACCGGGACCCACGUCAAAGUUUGUUAGUGAAGCGCUUUGCCGUUACUUUAACAAGGGGAGCAUUAUAUUUAUUUACUUAUUUUAUUGCUAAAAGCAGACCCAUAUUGAUCAGAAAAAAAUAUGAGUUAGGUUAGGUGAAAAAGACAGAGCAGUAGAGUCCAGUCGACCUGAGGACGAAGACCAUAUAUUUGCUAAUUUCAUGCUCAGCUAAACUGCUAAAGUGACAUUUUAUUAUUAUUUUUCCUUUCCCCUUCCGCCUAUUCCGCGACGUGCCUCAUUUUUUAUUUUUAACUUUUUACCAACUGGGCUGCUUCGUAUGCUACUACUAGAACCCAAAAUUCCCGCCUACUCUUGAUAUUUUAAUUUUAAUCAUUAGAUCAAGUAUAUCUUACCAUUAUUAUUAGCUAAAAUUUGGACACUUAUUUCUUUUAAAUAAUGUAGCCGCUAACACUCUCUUUUUUUUUUUUUUUAUCAGCAACGAUAUAUUUGUAUAACCUAUUCUAUCCUAAUCUAGGGGGAGGGGGAGCCUAAGGAGGCUGUUGUAGGAGCUAACGGAUAUACAAAUCCAACUAGACCAAGGGAAUGUUAUGGUACAACUCUUAGAUUUUUUUCGCUGCUGGUGAGGUUUGAACUCUCACCAACAGUCCAAGGAAGGACUUAAAUCCCUCCCUGGUGGCCACUGAGCCAUUGGCGCAGUGGUUAGCCGCUAACACUCUCACCCCUUUCGAUCAUUGAAAAUUCUAUCCGUUUGGAUUAGCUGUUUUUGGGGUUGUUUUUCAAAAACAGCACUGUAGCAUUUCGUUUUUCAAAUACAAGUCCGUUUGGAUUAGUUGUUUUUGGGGUUGUUUUUCAAAAAUUAUAUAAAAAACUUUUACUGUAGAUGUUUUAUGCAUUAUUUUUAGAUGUAUUUUUAAAACAUAUUUUCGAGUAUUUUUAUAAUUUAUAAUUUUUAUAUUUUUAUAACAAUAUAUAAUUAUACAUUUAUAAAUAUUUAUAAAUAAAUAAAUUUAUAUAAAAAUAUAUAAAUGUAUUAUAUUAUAUAUAAUACAUAAUAUAAAUAUAUUUAUAAAUGUAUAAAUUAUAAAUGAAUAUUAUAUAAAUGUAUAAAUUAUAAAUUAUAAAUUUUAUAUUUUUAUAUUUAUAUACAUUUAUGCAUUUAUAAUACAUUUAUUAAUAUUUAUAAAUAAAUAUAUUUAAAUAUUUAUAAAUAAAUAUAUUUGUACUUUUAUAAAUAAAUAUAUUCAUAUAUUUAUAUAUAAAUGUAUUAUAUUAUAUAUAAUACAUAAUAUAAAUAUAUUUAUAAAUGUUUAAAUAUAUUUCGAUCAUUGAAAAUUCUAUAUUUUUGACAUACAUCAAGGUAAAUUCAUUGGAGAAAUAAAGGUUGAAGAGUGUGUGUGUAUUACAAUGGGAUUAAUCCAAUACAAUUCUAUUUCUGAUGAUGGUAUAUCAACUAUUAGUAUAUCUUUUUGACAAAAUACACACACAUACUAUAUAUAUAUAUAUAUAUCAAGUAUUAUACUAUGAAAUGGUCUGGAGGUCCCCACUCACACAGCUUCACUUAUGCACAUGAUGACUACAUGACAAAAAGAGUUGUUACAAAGCAUACGUACCUGAGACGGUAACAGGCCUCACGUCCACUUUUAGCAGUGCCACGUAGAAUAUGGUAAAUCUCUGACUAUAUCUUAUCAUUAAAUUUUUUUUUCUCCUGCUCAUCGGAGAGUGGGUGAGGAUCUAAUUAUUCAGGCCCAGAAACAUCACAUUUAUCGCAGAGUUCACAAGUAGUGUUCAUAGGGCCUAGAAUAGGUUGUGGCUGUGGUUUUGCGACAGGAAAGGGGAAUGGUUGUACAGACAAGUGGUAGGCAAUGGUCCUGGCGGGGAUGGGGGGAGGGGGGGAGUUGGUCAUUUUGUUGGCAUGAUCGACGGGGACUGCCAGACCUUUGUCUAAACAAACAAACAAACAAACAAACAAAGCUAAAAGGAGAACAAAAAAACAUGAGCUGCAGCUGCCAAAGAAAAAGACAACUUUUUGCCUCAACCUAUUACGGGUCCUGGGAUCAAAGCUCUUUGCCUCAACUUAUUAAGCCCCGUUUUCUUUUAUUUAAAGCUUAUUAAGCUCCUAAAGUAACCGAAUAUAGGAUUUUGGAAGGAAGGCUUUUUGAUAUCAAAAAAUUAUGGACGCAAUGCAAAACCUCCCAAGCCAAUUUUAAGUGAUUAAAACUUUACAAGCGGAACCAAGCUCUUAUUGGUAAUACCCCAAUACUGCUACUGCUUACUAUAUGUAUGUUCCAUAGGGUAGCGUAGGGUAGGAUACGGAAGAGCUGUCUAAUCUAAUCACAAUGUUCGAGUUUGCUUCCGUUUUGGUCAUACUACUGCAUGAUACCGACUACAUAUUGCUAAUGUCGCAAAAAAAAUAAUUAAACUUACGAGCCUAAUUCAAGUAGUAAACAAAAUCAAUUAGUCUAAAGAUACAAUAACGAUUGGAGCAUCUCUUUCUUUACCUUCCCCCUUCUAGAAACCACUUGGGUGGAGAUUUUGCAUUGGGUAGGUGGGCAGGAUUCUUGUGAUCCUUCCCCCAAAUGCACCUGCACCUGCUACUUUACUAAUUGAACCUCCAAAACCUACACACCACAUCCUCAAUAAUAAUCAUCAUCAUCAUGAAUGCAUAAAAACUACUACUGCACACUUGUUUUUUUUUUUUUUUUAGUUUAAAAUAAAUAUGGGGGUUCUCUCUUGUCAUAGAUCUCCACACAGGAUUUCUGGCUCUAAAUUAAUAUCCUGCAUGCUACUACAAGUCCAAUUUUAUCUCUUUAAGAGAUCUCGGCCAAAGGGUUAGGUGAGAGUUUAAAAACGAUGGCAUGAAUUCAUCUUCGUUCGAAGGUUGGAAGCAGUGUUUUGAAAAUCGGACCGGCCGGUUCGACCGAUUGAACCGCAAACCGGUCAUGGUACCGGUCCGGUUUAAUGCUAGGGUUGACUUUGGCAGAAAAUCGGUCAAAAACCGAUUGAACCGCGAAAACCGUCGAACUGAAUUUGAACCGGCGGUUUCCGAUUUUCAAGUUUUCCUCUUUUUUUUUUUUUUUAGUUUUACAAAAUGCAACUAUCAAGAUUUAAACUCAAGACCUUUGUAAUAGAAGACCAAUGUAGUAACCAUUGCACCAUCACAUCUUAUUAAUUUUUUUUGAUAACUUAUUUAUAUAAAACAAAUACUCAUAUUUCUUUUGUUCCAUUUUUCUUGCAAAAUCUCAUCCUCUCAUGACUCUUUUUUUUCUAAUUUUCAACUCUCUCUCUCUCUCUCUCUCUCUCUCUCUCUCUCUCUCUCUCCAUCAUCUUUUCUUUUGUCACUCUUUUUUAAUCAAACCUCUUUAUUUUUAAUUUAUUGAUGUUUUCUUCCAUCUUUUAAUUUUGUUUUUGUCCAUUAAAUUAAAAAAGUUAAAAAAAAUUAUUUUUCUUUAACUCAAAUUAUUUAAUGCCACAACCACUCACUUUUAUCUCAUUUUUUUGUUUCUUAUCAAAUUUGCAUUUCUAUUUUCGAUUCUCUUUUUUAAAUUGCAAUAUCUAAAUUCCAAAACGUAAAAUAAAAUUUAAGUUCACAAUGUCUAAAUUCUCAUAGACGUGAAUUUUGUAUAAUUUUAAAAUAUUGUGAUAUUUUUGAAUUGGAUUUAAGAUUUUUUUGAUAGAUAUAAUUGAAAUUGACAUGAAAUUUAUUUGUUUUAACUUAUAAUUUUAAAAUUUUAUUUUUAAAAAUCCAAAUUAUUCAAAAAUAGUAAACUUUUCAUCAUAUAAAGUAUUAAAUUAUCCAUUACAUGUCUUAUUUUGUGCAUAUAUAUAUUUAUAUAAAUUAUUUUUUAAAAAAUUCAUUGAACCGAGGUUGAAUCGGUUCGAUCGAUUGAAUCUCGACCCUUUUACUUCACCGGUUCAAUUAACCGGUCCGAUUUUUAAAACAUUGGUUGGAAGUUGGAACUUGGAAGGAGCAGCGGCCAGUACCGUUGUAGAUCCUCUUUUCUUCUUCUUCUUGGAAGAAAUGGGAUUCAGUGAUGAAUGAUAUUAUUAUUACACAGAUUUCACAUCUAAUACUUAGUGCCUCCUCUUUAGUCUUUUCAACCAAAUAACGUCUUGACUUUUCGAGGAUUAUUUUUUGACACGUUUUCAACUACUUUUUAACUUGUUCCUGAUACUCACAACUUCAAAAGAAAUUUUUCUAUGAAAACCUUCCAAAAGUCUCGAGAACUACCAUUCAAACAUGCUUUAAAAUUUUCUUCUGGAUGAGGCCGCGUGGCUUUCAAUUUCUAGGAAGCCCUAAAACUGAUCCUGAUGAAACAAAAAAAGUGGAAAUUGAGUUUUUUUUUAAAAACUGAAGGAAGGAAGGAAUAAAAUAUAUAUAUAUUUUUUUAAAAAAAAUGUGAAAUCGAGUUUCACUUUCCUGCUCUUCCAACAGAUGAGAUCACAGGAUAAGAGUUGAAAUCAUCUGUUGAUGAUAAAAAAGUAACCGUCACCAAAUUUGGAUGAGGAAUGUGAGGUCAUCAAAGGCAGACGGACUGAAAAUGCGCAUGCGGCGCGCACGAUAGCAGGAGCCCAGCCGGUGAGAGUAGUUAACGAGUUUGGUGAGAUAUGAUGAAAGUGAUGGGGCCCACACAAACAACAAAGCAGUGAUUACGGUCCGGAGCAGCACGGCCAACGGUUGACUCCUGACUAUCGAUGUUGACUUGUUUAUAUUAUCAUCGAUUCCAUGAUUAAUGUUUGCCUUUCAUGGCAGUCGGUCAUCUCAUCUUCUUCUUCUUCUAUUCUAAAAGUAAUCAGCCAACUCCGUCGGCUACCUUAGUAGUGGUAAAACACACAGAAAAUCGCAGCAGCAAUGCAGCCUUCUGAUCUAGAGGAUCCUCCCACGUCGUAAUAAUAGAUUCUAAUGAGUUUGAGUUUGAAAUUUUAAUACAUCUAAUCGUGAUAAUGAAAUUAAUUCUUAUGUUAUUAUCAGGGCACAAUAUCAUUAACUAAUGAAAAUACUCGAAGUUUUUUGUGUUUUUCUUCAUCCCUUUCUUGGCGUCAACAAGAGAGCUCUGUGCCAUUACAGAAUCCAACCAACCGAGUUCACGGAAAAUUGUGUUUUGAGAAUUUCACGGGAUGGAUUGAGAAAUUUGACGAAGGUUUUGAAAUCCAUCCAAAUUGCUCUGGUUGUUUGAAUUACUUAAGAGGUAAUUUGGGCUUACAAUUUAUCAAUUAUAUAAAUACAUUCACUUUAAAUGCUAGAAUAAUGAGUGAUUUAUAAAUUCAUAUACCUCCUCCCAAAUAAUCUAAACAACUAGAAAAAAUUCGACAAGAUCGAUUAUCACUCAAUCGAAACGCAUGCGUUUCAUGCUUUAAAAGUUUAAAACCCGUCAUCACACAAGUAGCUAAAAACGGCGGGACCACAGAAAGCAUUUCAUUGCGGAGCAAACAAAAGGUCUGGCAAAGAUAACCACAAAUCUGUGAGGAUGAAGCAGUCCAAACAAGGCUGCUAGCGAAUUACGCAAGACAAGAGCUUGGAGAUUGCAAGAUUCGCAGGGUGGGGGUGAAGGAAAUGAUCUUCACUUCAUGUGGAAAAUUGAGAGUUGAAAAAAAAAAAAAAAAAAUCUGCAGUUCGAAUCCUCGAGCACCUGCUUCAGCGUUAAUGCGGGUUCCGGUUCUGGCAUUAAAUUAAAUAGAUAGUGAAACGUAAUUAAUUGGGCUACCAUACUUUUAGUAAUUAAUUGGAAAACUAUGGCACACCAACUUUUAAGUGGAGUGGAUGUGUACAAUAUUUUAUACUACAAAAAAGUAACACAAAGAAACCAAUAAAAAAGAAAGAAAGAAAAGGUAUGUUGAAUUCGUCGGUUCAACUUGUUAACUUUCUUGCAUGUUUGGAUCUAACAGAGUCAGAUCCGAAGGGUGUUAACUCUAUUGUUUUGGAUGACGGUCGCCCUGGUUGUCCAGUUUGAUCUGUAGCCAUCCUUUCUUGAAGCCCAACAGCUGCAUUCAUGAAAUGGGCCACAGUGUUUAUGACACAUUUACCAGCACCAUGGAUCGGGAUGCCCAAAGGCAUAUGCUCUUCUCCCAAAUGGACUUUCAUGCUUUUAAGUGUGGCACAGAAUUAUGCUUCCCUACCCAAUCCUUUUUUUUUUUUAACGAAGAGAGCUCUGAUGAGGAAAGCAACCUCUCAAAACCAAGAGUGAGGUCGUCGCUUUACAGUUUGUAAUUUUCGGUUGGCUCUGGCCAUAAUUCCUUGGCGGGGUGCUUUCUAGCCCGCUCGUAUUGUAAAACCGAGCGCUGAAGUUCCCGGCGUGGCCAGUGCGCCUUAUUACUAAUGGGCUUUUUGUGUUUUGUUUGGGCCUUUACAUUUCAUUCGUUUGGGUAAUGCUUCAAUUUAUCUCUGGCUGCCGGGCGCAUCCCAAGCCAACGAAAAAAUUUGGGGGAGUGGCUUUUUCUUUUUGGGAACGGGGAGGGUGUGUUCGGAAAGGGGGAAAGCGCACGGUUAAAGACUUAGAAGGCUAUGCUCAAGCUCAAACCAAACUUCGAGUAUCAUGUAAAUUAUCUCAAGUAACACACUUCGAUGCAAAACAAUAAAAUGUUUGAUAAGAAAUAAAAAGACCAAAGUUUGUCACGUGAAAACGUUGUAGCGGUUGCUUGGAUCCUGCCUGAGAAGCCAGUACUUGACAAACAAGGGAUUAUGGUCUGAGCAAAUAACACAUAACAGAGUACAAAACACAGGCAUUUUCUAAGCAAAUAUUGCAGUCAAUCUAGGUUUCUUUUUGAGGAGCCUUCUUGGCAGCCUCUGCAGCUGCUUUCUCCUCCUCAAUUUCAGCAACAAUUGCAUCAAUUUCAGCUUCUUCAAGUUGCCUCAGCCCAUCUUUUUUCGUCAUCACAGCUACUUCUAUAUUCUUCCCACCACUCUCAACGACCUUAAUACAUGACAUUAACAAGUCAAAAGCGUGUGUAUUUAACUCAACAGAUCAAUAAUUUACUCCACAAAUAAAGCGACAAUGCCCAAAAAAAAAAACAAACGAAAGGCUAAAACCCAUCUGAAAAUGGUUAAAGGCAGCUUUUUUGGGCUCCAUUAUGGUAAUUAAACAUGUAAUCUGCUCAAUACGCUUUGUCACUCAACGUUGAACUAAGAAGUUCACGGUGGCAGUCUCAAAGGAAUUCAAAACGGAUUAUUAAAUAUAACAUUUCAAAAACUUUAUGAGCUCUGUAAAACAUUUAAUUGGUGCAGCUAAAUCAUGGUUAAAUAUGAAUGGGUCGAAAAAGAAGAGAGCAAUGCUGAAUUCCAAGGUGAUGGUCAUUACUGUGAGCACAAGAUGAUCACAAAUGGGUAACACAAGUAUUUAACAAAAAGAAUUCCCGUAAGACUGCAUUACUUGUUUGUUAACCAUAGCUGCUAGGAAAAAUUACUCCCUCAAGGACCUUUCUAUGCUUUAGGCUCACGGAAAUCUGGAAAGAGGAAUUGAGAGGGCCUUUUGCAAAGGAUGCGAGGAUGACAGUUGUUAUACAAUACAAUGAUCUUCUCAGAAAAAUCUAGGAUAAACAUAGGAGUAUUCACAACUACAGCAUAUGAAGCUUCCCUGUGCCUGCCAUGAAUAUAACAGCAGAACAAAAACAGGAGAUAAACAAAAAUUAGGAAGUCCAAAUUACAUUUACGUGAAAUGUACUGCUAUAUUCCAACAACACCCUAAACCCAUAAACCAAUUAGGCAUCCUUCCCUCUGUCCAAAAGGCCAGAAAAACAAAUGCAAACACAGGAUCAUAGAGCCAUCUUUUUUUUUUCCUCUUUUGCCAAUAAACCAUGACCAAAUUUAGCCUCAGAGCAUGAUAAGCAGGAGCUGCUUAAAAUUUACAAGAAAUUCCCAACAAGGGCAUGCCAGAGAUAUUUUGUUAUUUCAUUCAAUGAUUUUGCUUGUCAAUGCUUUAGGCAAUGCAAGUUGAGUUUUAAGUUGUAUCCAAAGUGCUCAAAAGCUUGCCUGUUAGAGAUGCACAAACCAAUACAGAUUUAAGUGGUUACAAGCAAAAGAAUAUAAGCCACAACCAUGUGCUUGCUAAGAAUAGUAGAUCAGAUGUUGCACAAAAUCCAAAUGAAAAGAGUUAAAAAGUCAUAGAGUAAUAUAGAAUAAGCCGAAAAAAAUUCCAAGACAGCAGCAGCAUACGACAAACAUAAACAAGGCAUUUGCUAUUUUGCUGGGAUGACUUACUUCAAGCAAUGCACGAAUAGCUAGUUUUACAGUUUCUUGGCCAGCUGUUUCCUUGUAAUUCUUCUCCAGAAACUCCCUGAUAGAGUUUGAGUUUCUCCCAGUUGCAUUGGCUUUCCACGCUGAAAAUGUUCCUGAAGGAUCUGUCUGAUAUAACGCAGGGACACCUGUGUAUGGGUCAAAGCCAAUUAUCAAAGUGGAAAGGCCAAAUGGUCUUACACCACCACUUUGUGUAUACUUCUGCUGAAGUCCAGCGAUGUAGCGCGUAAUAUACUCAACGGUGACCGGAUCCUCAACUGUAAGUCUAUGACUUUGACAUUCAAUACGUGCCCGGUUUAUCAAAACACGAGCAUCUGCUUUCAGUCCAGCACAGGCCAAUGCAAUAUGAUCAUCUAAAUUCACAAUCUUUCUAACCGAUCUGAAAAUAAGAACCACCAAUUAAAAAUAUUCAGCAAGAAAUCUAAGGCAGGCAGAGGGCAAACAAUAUAUAUAGUGCAACCAUGUUUCAAUAACUAAUAGCCAUUGCAUACUCACUUCAAACCUAAAAUCAUACUAAGCAAGAGAAUUAACAAGCAAUAAAACACACUCACAUGCACACAAAGAGGAAACGGGCUUAGCCAAGAAAUUUUGGCUGAUUAACACAAUUUCACAAGUACUUCAAGAAGAAUGAGCCAGGUUCCUCAGUAAUCAAUUUAUACACAAAUUAAAAAUUUUUCCGGAUUUGUUACCCCGGCUUCACCACUGCUCCCUAAAAUCAAAAAGCCCCCUUUUAUUUUUUCCAAGGCACUAAAAUCAAAAAGCUGACCGAGCACAGGUUAAUCUUUUUUUUUUUUUUUUUCCAAACGGAGAAUCAUUUCAGUACAAGAAAACCCGCAUCUUUCAUGCAGCCUUAAUCAAUAGAUCAGAUUAAAAUUAGAUUCCCUAGAAAAAAAAACUUCAAUUCCAAAACCCUAAAGCCUAAACCCAAAUUAGCUUGGUAACAGCCCACAAUAACCAACCAAAAGUUGCUCCGACUAACAGGGUACCCAGAAUUUCGAUUAAGUAACAAACCUAAACAGUAGCUAUGAAGAUGGAAUAUAUAAAAGAAAAGAACAAAAAAAAAGGGAUGGGUGAAUGAAUAGAUUUGAGAAGUUGGACCUACCUGGAGUCUUGAAGCUUAGGAGUAGACUUCUUCUCGACACCAAGGACGAUAGUGUCGGUUCCACGGACACCAACGGCGGCGUUUCCUUUCCGGACGGCCUCGAGGGCGUACUCCACCUGAAAAAGAUGUCCGUCGGGGGAGAAAACAGUAAUGGCUCUGUCGUAUCUAGCCAUCUAUCUGUGCCUGUAUAGGGUAUGCUACGUAUUCGUACAGUUUUUUUUGGGGUUGGGCUUGUGGUUUGGGAUCUCUGGCUCGACACUUUUAGACUUCCAGGGAAGAGAGAGAGAGGGAUGAAAGCGUGAAGAAGGGGAAGAGGAUUCAGAGGGAACUUGGGGGAGAAGUCACCAGUAGCACACGAUGUCGUUUCCAAUUACUUUUUGUACUACAAGUAACAAGUGACUAGUCCCAGUAGAACUAUAUAGUUUUUUUUUUUUUUUUUUUUCUUUAGCGGAAACCAAUGUUUUCAAACCCGGACCGUCAAUCGAACCGGUGAGGUGAAAGGGUCGAGAUUCAACCGGUCGGACCGGUUCAACCGGGGUUCAAUAAAUAAAUAAAUAAAUAAAUAUAUAUAUAUAUAUAUAUAUAGACACACACACCUAUGCAUAGAAUAAGAUAUAAAUGCUGAACCACAAUAAAUAUAAGAGCAAUAUCCAACAAUUAACACACACAAUUAACAUAGUUAUGAAACUUACAUGUCCAAUUGUCUAAAUAUUAAAAUUAACAAAAAAAAAUACAAGUCUAGAAAACAAUCAAAAGGUCCAAACGAGUCCAAUUUCUGAAGCUUCUAUAAUCUUCUUCAUAAUUCUGGGACAACAAAGCUUCAAAAAAAGCCAUCUUGACAAGUCAUCAUCAUCAUCCAAGACCAUUAUAUGAAUCACUGACAAGUGAUAAAAGUAUAAAAUCAUAUUAGUUUCAUCACACCAACUGAUACAAAUCUUAAAAAUAAAAAUAAAAGAGUACAAAUAAUUCUAUACCAAUUACCAUUUGAACAUUUAAUGCCAAUCAUCAUCUUCAUCAUUAAAAAAGUUUCGACGCUGAAAUGUUUCUAAAUCAACAUCUUCUGCUUCCUCUUCAUUAUCUAAAAAAUCAACAUAUUUAAUUAUAUACAUAUUCAACAAUUGAAUAUCAUAUCAUACUAGCUUUAUUUUUGCAUCAAACUAAUGAUUUAUGUCAAACUAACCUUCAAGUUGUUCAGAAUUUGAACAUUGACCAUGAAUUGGAAGUUCUUCAAGCUCUUCCUCUAACUCCUCAUAAUCAAGCUCCCCUUCUUGUUCUUCUUCAACCACCCAAAAUUCUGUUUUAUCAAUUGACUCAUAAUCAACGGGAUCAUACGAUCUCUUUUGCUGAUUAUGCCUACAAUAUAUAUAUAUACACACAACAUAUACACUUAGUUAGUACUAAAAUAUUUUCUUAAAAAGAAUGAAAUGUCAUUUAUAAAAAUAAACCAUUUACAUAUACCUAUACUGCAAACGCAAAUUGUAAUGCACAUAUACAAGAUCAUUGAGCCUUUGAUGCUCCAACCUAUUCCUUUUCUUAGUAUGAAUACGUUCAAAAACACUCCAAUUACGCUCACAUCCUGAAGAAGAAGCUGUUUGACUCAAAACCCGAAUUGCAAGUUUUUGUAAGUUGGGAGCAUCACAACCAAAGAGCUUCCACCAAUUCUCUGUCAUAUUCAAAAUUUAAAUAUAAACAAAAUAUUUAUAAAUUAGAUAUAUAUAUAUAUAUAUAUAUAUAUUAGAGAGAUUCAAAUGCUAGAAAAAUAUAAAUUACCUGGUCUAUCUUUCUUGCUAGUAAGAAUAGCAAGUUUUCUGCCAAAACUUCCCUCCCGCUCUCGAUACAUUCCAAUUUCUCUUGUUAAAUUUUCCACACUACACCAAUCCACCUUUGAUUCUAUGUAAUCCAACAAACCAUUUGUAAUUUCUGGAUGUGUAGAGAAUGUGGCGGUGUCAUAUUGAAAAGCGGGAUUUAAAAAAUAUGCCGUAGCAUGCAAAUUUUUCCUCAACAUCCUAUCCCAUCGGUCAUUGAUGAUAUCAAUGUAAGGCUUAUAUAGUCUUUCACUACUCCUGAACAACUUCUUGAUUCCAGUAAUUGCUCUAAACAUACCUUCAUACACAUACCCCAAAGAAGGCCUUUCAUCAGUGUCACAAACUCUCAACAACCGAAUAAUAGGACCCAUUAUUCUCACCGUAAUCAAACAAUUAUUCCAAAAUCUAUCAUCCAAAACAAUUUGUUUGACCUCUUUUCCUUUGUUCAUUUUCAAGAACUUUUUGUAAUCUCCGCUAGUGACUAAAGCUUGUAAGCUGUCUUUGUGAUCAUGUAAGCUCUUUAGUGCAAUAAAAGUGGUGGCAAAUCGAGUCUCCCCCGGACGAAUAAUCUCCCUCCACCCAUUAGUUUUUCUCAGCCAAUUUAGAACAUAUUUAUGAUUAUACACAAAAACAGUUACUGUAGCAGCAAGAGCCACUAGAGAUUUAACAGUACCCAUUUCACCAAUAUCCUUCAAAAUCAAAUUGAUACAAUGGGCAGCACAUGGAGACCAGCAAAUAGUUGGAUAUCUUUCAUUUAAUAAAGUUCCAGCAGCCUUAUAAUUGCUAGCAUUAUCAGUGACUAAAUGCACCACAUUUUUUGAACCAACCAUUUCAACAAUUUCAGCAAACAGAUUGCACAAAUUUUCUGCAUUUGUCACAAUGUCCGAUGCAUCUAUAGACUUGAUAAAAGAUAUACCCUUAGGACAAUAAACCAGAAAAUUAAUCAAUGGUCUUUGUCUACUAUCUUUCCAUCCAUCACCCAUUAUAGUGCAUCCAGUUUCAGCCCAAGUAUUUCGAAAUGAAUCAACAACUAACUGCACAUCUUUCUUAGCAUCUCGCAACAAAGUGACUCGCAAGGAAUGAUAAGAUGGAGCUUUAUAACCAUGACCCAUUGAUGCAAUUUGAUCGAUAGCUUUUUGAAAAAAUGGAGAAUUAACAGCAUUAAUGGGAAUACAUGCAUCAUAGAACCAAAGAGCAAUGGCCAUAUCAGUAUUUUGCCAUUUAUCCUUACUUUGCAAACAAGCUUUGAUAGUAGGUUGAGCACUAUCACGUCCACCCUUAAAGAAAGCAUGAAUACCUGUAGGGGCAGUGGUUUUUCUCUUUCCUUUACCUAAUGAUGUACCAGCCUCAUUCAUUGAAAUUUCCCUUAUUCGAGGAGGUGGAACCUCUUGCACUUCAUCACCGACAAAUUCGUGCACUGGUUGACCAAAAGGACUUUCAACCCCAAAAUCUCCUCUUUUUUCUUUAGAUUUUUUAUCAUUUUCUUGCAAACAUGUUAAUAUUGCAAGCCUCACUGCUGGAUCAACAUUUGGACAUGAAGUAACACUGCCCGUUACUCCUGCCAAGUGUUGCUUCAUUCGGUGGAUGCCACCCCCAUGAAACACUUUAAAACAAUAAGUGCAUGUCAUGGUUUUUCUUCCUUGUGCAUUUCUGCCCUCAGAAACAUAUCCCCAUGCUAUAUCUGUCUUUUGCCUAUGACCUUGGGGCUGACUUGCAGAUCCCUCACUAUUGAAUGGUCCCCCCGGUGAACAUUGUGAGUUACUACCGCUACCAGCCUCCAUCCUAAAAUGAGAUAUUUAAAAAUAACUAGUCUUAACAAAUAAUUAAUAUACACAAACUGAAACAAAUUAUUAAAGCUAUUCGUAUUUGGGAACUGAAACUGUCACCAAAAGAUCUAAAGGGGUUAAUGGAGACAAUGAAACAACCGUUUAGCACGAGUGAAGUUAAUUCCCUAAGCCUUGUGCAUUUCUUGAGGGUGUUAAGUAUCUUCACGAUAACUGGGUUGUGCACAGAGAUUUAAAGACAUCAAAUAUACUUUUAAAAAAUAGCACAGAGAUUUAAAGACAUCAAAUAUACUUUUAAAUAAUAGCACAGAGAUUUAAAGACAUCAAAUAUACUUUUAAAUAAUAGCACAUUGGGUGUUCCCAGAUCCCAAGUAUGCAAAAUGUAUAUCAAAUGAAGCUAUUUAACUGGAAGUGGAAUGAAAGUCUUUGCCCUUUAAACACUACAUAUAUAUAUGGUAUAUCACAUGUUUGAGAAGCAAAACGUGAGAUCAACACAUUUAAGCGAAUUGCUAAAACUUGAAGGAUAAUGUGUGUAAUGUUCAAUUGGUGCCCUUCCAUCCUUUAGCUCACUGACAAGAUCCAAAUCACAAUUAAUCACAAACAAGUAUAUAAGAACUCUUGUCGGGGUUACAGUCAGCUAAUAGAUUGAUCAGCAGAUUCACGAUACUGAAUUCUUAUGAAUGAAAGCAAUCAAAGUACAAGGGAAUUUGCAGCAAUUUAGGCAAGCGGAACUGAUAUUUCCAAAGGAUUGACAAUUGUAUAAACUCAAACACGUGAACAGGAAAAUAAGCAGCAGCUACAAUCAACCCGGUCUGAGUAAACGGAUAAACUGACCAGCAAAACACGACACUACAGAGAAUCAAUCACAAUCAGAGUAUAUCUACUCACAUAUGGAACAAUAUCUAGACAGAGAACAUGUUGAAAUUAGAAACGAAAUGAGGUAGCAAUUCAAAUUAUGAAGAUUUAGGACCUGAAUGCAGAAGGGUUGAUGUCCACCACCGGCGCUGCACCACCUCAAUCACCCUGCUCAGCUACACCACCUCAAUCACCCUGCUCAGCUGCACCUUCAGCCCACAGUCGACAACGAGCACCGCCAACCAGUGGUCAUCUACGCCGUUUCCCCAAAAGUGAUCCACACCACACUUUGGAGAAGGGGAAAAGGAACUAGCGAAGGAGGACCGAAGCGGCGAAGCGGCGAGGUGAAGUCACUGAAGUGCGAAGAGGAAGAGUGGAAGACUGGAGCCGUGGAGCGAACUAGCGAAGGAAGACCGAAGGCCGAAGCGGCGAGGACCGAAGGCCGAAGCGGCGAGGACCGAAGCGGCGAAGCGGCGAGGUGAAGCGGCUGAAGUGCGAAGAGGAACUGAGGAAGAGUGGAAGACUGGAGCCGUGGAGCGAACUAGCGAAGAAAUCAGAAAUGAAGAAUGAAGAUUAGGGAUCGGUCAAAAUUGAAGUUUUUGUCAAUUUUGACUCAAAAAUUGGAAACCGCGGUUCACGGUCCAACCCGGUUUUGAAGAUUUGACCGGUUUUUUCCGGUUUUGACCGGUUUCUUAUAAAAGUCAACAUAAGCUAUAGACCGGACCGGACUCAUGGCCGGGUCGCGGUCGAACCGGUCGACCCGGCCGGUCCGGUCCGGGUUUGAAAACAUUGGCGGAAACAGCUAGCCUAGCCUAGCCUAUUCCUACUCCUAAAGGGGGGACUACUUUUUUAAGAGAAGCGACUCUAAGGAAUGCGCCAAUUGAGUCGGGGGCACCAGACGGGAACUUAAUCAUCAUCUGAUCAGACGGGUGCACCACUCACCCGUAUGAAUUUAGAACACUUCUCAUAUUGAGACACAUUGAUGGGAGACAAGUUUGGAUUGCUGUUUAUUUGCCAAAAUAUAUUUACUUACAUCAUCAUUACAAUUUCCAACACACCUUUUUAUCUUCCCAAUUACCUUUUUAUCUCACAUACAUCACAUCACAAAAAAUGUUACAGUAAAAAUAUCUCUAAUAAUUUACAAUCCAAACAAACUCGUUUGAACCCUUGACCUCCCACCCCACUAUAUACAGUUUUCUUCUUUUUUUUUUUGGUGUUUUCUCCCCUUUAUAUUUUGAGUUCAUAAGUCGGUGAAAAAAGAUUUUGGACCCCGAAAGGCCAAAACUGAUUAUGUUCAGCUCAAUUAGUGUAGAAAUACAGAAAAUUUUCAAGCAUCUCUAUUUUUUUAUAGUAGUAUUUAUAUUGAUUCCAUAGCUAUGUAACCUUUUUUCUCAUUGUAGGUUCUUUUUUUUUUACAACUAAUUUAACUUGUUUAGAAGUAAAUAAAUAUGCCCAGCUAAUUUUAUUCCAAGUUUUUUGGGUUUAAGGUAAUGUAAGAAAGGGGAAAAAAAAAAAAAAGGAGGUAAGUGUAAUUGCACUCUCUUGUGGACUAGAUUUAGAUUGGGUCGGAGCUUUGGAUGGAAAAUGUUAAGAAACGCGGAUUGGCCCAAGUCCAACCACAUAAGCGGAGAUCAUUGUAACUGUAGUUAUGAAGGCCACACUCUAUUGUGGGGCUCCUGGUCCUUGUCUUCAUAGACAUUAGAGACAGGAAUAAAAAAAUAUUCCACCCCAAAUUAACCAAUCAUUCCUCCCGCGAAUUCAUUGCACAAAUUGCUUUCUAGUCCAUUUGGCAUUCUUUGGCGGUCAUCAUUUCGGAUGAAACCACUAACUAGUUGGUCGUCAGUCAAGUCAUGGAGAAAGGCCAUUUUGUGGACGCAACACCAAUUUAAGUGCAACCCGUGCGGCACACGAUGAUGCGCUUUCAGUUGAAAAACACUUUCCAGAUUCCGGAAAUUUUCCUUGGUUCGAGCACAGAUUGAAUUCCUAACCUUUUCCCUGUACAUAUUUUAGAUAUUCAGUGCCUUACUUGGAAUAUCAAUCAAAGUUUUUGGAGGAAAGAUGACUUGCUGAAUGCAUAACCAGUCCUGAUCUAAUUUUGCUAUGCUGCUAGUUGUUAUCGAACAUGUAACAGUACUGUAUGAAUCGGUAUGGCAGCAUGAACCAAAGAAGGCGAACUGUUCAGUGACUUGGGAGACUUGUCUCAGUUCUGCGGUUGAUACUGGCAGGCAAUUGUGUUUUGGUGACUCCUUCUACGAUGUCUUCUCUCAUGGGAAGAGAAGACUCCACUUUCCAUCUUUCAUUCCAGGGAAACGCGCUCUUAUUUUUAGAGUAAAAACACGCUCUUAUUCGAGAAUGGUUGAAUCGGCUUAAGGGCCGGCCAGCAAGAACUUAAUCAAAAUCAUUUUGUGGCAUGAAGGAAUCAGAGAGACAACCAAUCAGAAUUAUAGGGUUGUUAUCCACAAAAGGGGCUUAUCAGAAUGUUUACUUAUGCCAAAGUCCUGUAGUGUCAUGUCCAGUCCACACCCAUUUAGUUCACUGCUACUUUUCUUCCCUUUCUUUUAUGACAGCAGCGAUAGCAUUAGUAUAAUCUACUCUAACCUAAUCUAAGAGUAGCCUAACCGACGAGAACCUCUUGGAAGGCAACCACAUUCAAGUGACGGCCACAAUUGAGUGGCUUGACCUCCCACCCACCUACAAGCUUACUGCUACUACAAUUUAGGUUACUGCUACUUCCAAGAGCGGGCAUUCCGAAAACACAAGAGUAGACAUCAAAGGUGUAACCUCAUGAAAAGAAGCUUUAGCCCACAGCACCACAUUGCCAAAUGGGCACAUAGUCUUCUGACAAAUCAUAUUAGCACGUUGCAUGACUGUUUAGAAAGGCAUUUACCUCUGUCCUUUCCUCAAAUUUGAGGAACCAGUGAAUCAUCAUUUUUAUUAUAAAAGCCUCUUGCUUUUCGCAUCCAGUAUCCAGAAUCAUUUUUCCUAGGCUCCUUACAUCUCUACAAACUCUUCAUCCUCCUGUCGUCUCUCUACUUGAAUAACCAAUUCAAAAAGUGAUGUUAACCAGGAGUAGAACCCUUCCCUCAAGAAUUUAUAAUGGUGUUGUAAGUUGAUUUUCGGAACGUACCAAUUUCAGUGUGAUAAAAAAAAAAAAAAAAUUCUUUUGUUCUCUCAACUUUUCUAAAGCUACCCGUCUGUUCCAUUCUUUAGGUUGAAGAGAGGCAAGACUUCAGACACUAUUUGCAGGUGGAAGUCCAACCCAAACCUCAACAGGAAGCUGAAGCAAUUAAUCUGCAAGCUAACUAUUCCAAGUGCUUUGAUGAUGAUGGCCGGUUAAAGAGAACAGGUAAACAUCCCAACAAAAGUGGGCAGAUGAAUAUAAUACUUAGAAUACGCCGUGCAGAUUAGACAUUGGGAUUAAAUUUAAUACUGGAAAACUGAUGAAUUUACUACCAGUCCCUCGCAAAUUACAUCUCUCAUAUUACAUACAACCGACUCUACGUGUCAGUCUCUCAAGAAUUAAUUGCUCAAUCAUCAUCAUUUGCCAUUAAGCAAGCAGAUGGUAGACCAGUAUUACCCAUUGAAUGCCACCCAACAUACCUAAUAGGCUAUAACGUUUGCUGAUGCAGGAACUCUUUGGACUGCAACAUCCCAUAUAAUCACAGCCGUCAUUGGCUCCGGUGUGCUAUCAUUAGCAUGGGCUAUAGGACAACUUGGGUGGGUUGCUGGACCAACUGUCAUGCUUCUUUUUGCUUUUGUAAUUCUCUACACGUCCAACCUCCUAUCACAGUGCUAUAGGUCUGGGAAUCCUGUAACUGGACCACGGAAUUACACUUACAUGGAUGCUGUCAAGGCAACCUUAGGUAAAAAGACGUACAAGAAUAACUUUCCUAAUUCUUUUAAAGUUAUUAGUCAUUUAAUAUCAGAUUCCUAACGUGACGUUUUUGGAUUGCAGGAGGGAGAAAAGUAAAAAUCUGUGGACUAAUUCAGUAUAUCAAUUUAUUUGGUGUGGCUAUUGGCUACACAAUUGCAGCAUCAGUCAGCAUGAUGUGAGUUGGCAGUGUGAAAAUUAUACUAAUAUACCAAUUGAUAUGCUCUUCUAUCUAACCAAUGCAUCAAAAUAUGUGGAAUAUCAUGUCAGAUACUAACACACAGUGGAACUAUACUAUGCACUUGUCUCUUUUGUGAAACAGGGCAGUAAAAAGAUCAAAUUGCUUCCAUGAGAGCAAUGGUAAAGAUCCCUGUCAUAUGACAAGCAAUGGAUACAUGAUUACCUUUGGAAUCAUUGAAAUCAUAUUCUCCCAGAUCCCUGAUUUUGACCAAGUAUGGUGGCUGUCCAUAGUUGCAGCAGUUAUGUCCUUCACAUACUCUACUGUUGGUCUUUCUCUUGGCAUUGCCAAGGUUGCAGGUGCACACUAUACUGCUCUCAUUUUGCACUUGGGAUCCUCGGUGACAUGUUUUCUAUGCCAAUCUAAUGCCACCUAUAAUAUUGUGCUAAGUGUCCUGUUAUUAUUUACACUUAUGUUAAACCAAACUAAGUUGAAUUAUUAGAAAAUUAAAGUGUAAAUAAUAAUAGGACACUUGGCGCAAUACUAUAGGUGGCAUUGAAUUGGCAUAGAAAAACAUGUCACCGAGGAUUCCAAGUGCUCAUUUUGACAUGACCAAAGACAAAAAUUACUAUUAAAAGCAGAAGUGUGAAUUUCAAUUAUAUAUAUUAUCUCGUUUGCAACUUAUGACUAGAUGUUUGAUAUGCAUUUCGAAAGCUUAUUUACACAUGUAUCAUAUGGCAGUUAUACCACCAAGAUGUUUGUUUUGCAACUAAAGCAUGCACUUCUACUUUAUUUACGUUUGUCUGAUUUAUGCAAAAAAAAGGGAUCUAGUUUAUGUUCCUAAUUAGAUCAUUUAGUUCCAGGUUCUGGAACAAUCACCUUACUAUGCAGACAUCAAUCUUUUUCUUUAUUAAUUUGUGGCAGAAAAUAAAAGUUUCAGAGGAAGCCUAAUAGGCAUCAGCAUAGGUACCAUAACACACGCUGGAACAGUUACUGCAACACAGAAGUUAUGGAGGAGUCUACAAGCUCUAGGAGCCAUAGCAUUUGCAUACUCUUACUCCAUCAUCCUCAUUGAAAUUCAGGUUGACUGUAUUCCAGGUUCUCCCUCUACAAAUGAUAGUUUCCUUCCAAAUUUAGUUCAGAACAAUUUUCAAUUCAGAAGUGCUGAUGGAAAAACUUCAUGCACCCCCCGUAGGAUACCAUCAAAGCCCCUCCAGCUGAAUACAAAACCAUGAAGAAGGCAACUCUAAUCAGCAUUGCGACCACAACCGUAUUCUAUUUACUCUGUGGAUGCAUGGGAUAUGCUGCAUUUGGGGACGAUGCUCCAGGAAACCUUCUUACUGGUUUCGGAUUUUAUAAUCCAUAUUGGCUAUUAGACAUAGCUAACGUAGCCAUUGUCAUCCAUCUUGUUGGUGCCUAUCAAGUAAACCCAUGCAACCACUCGUUAACAUAUCCAUACUUCGCUUCAAACACUAAUAUCAUCUAUAAUGCUUAAAACUCACUUCCUUCAGUCAGACUAUCUAUAAGGCAUAUAAGAUAGAAUGUUGCUCACAUAGCUACAUGACUGAGAAAAUGCAGGUCUACUGCCAGCCGUUAUUUGCAUUUGUGGAGAAAUGGAGUGCACAAAGAUGGUCAAAUGGUGACUUUGUAACGGCAGAAUAUGACAUACCUAUCCCUUUUUAUGGCGUGUACCAGCUCAAUUUUUUCCGGCUGUCGUGGAGAACCGCUUUUGUAAUUGUUACUACUAUCAUCGCCAUGCUCGUGCCUUUCUUCAAUGAUGUUGUCGGCAUACUGGGAGCUCUAGGAUUUUGGCCAUUGACAGUAUACUUCCCCAUCGAGAUUUAUGUUGCUCAGAAGAAGAUUGGGCGAUGGACAACUCAAUGGAUUGGUCUACAGAUAUUAAGUGCAGCUUGUCUCCUUGUUUCACUAUCUGCAGCAAUUGGUUCAGUGGCUGGUGUCGUUCUUGAACUCAAAACAUACAAGCCCUUUAAAACUAGUUAUUAGGAGGAAAAGAUCGAGCAAAUGGAGGAGGAUAUAGAAGCAUUUUACCUGCAGUGAGAAAAGCAGUAUGUACUGGUUACUAAUCUAUAAAGAUGAAGGGAUGUACUAUAAAUUACGAGAACAUUGAUGUAUCAAAAUUACAGAGGGCUUCGAUGGGGUGGAUUGGAUGGCAGUCAUGCAAUCAUCAGUCAACAAUGAACGUUAAUAUAAAGCGUAAUUAUUAGGUAUAAUAAGCUGCCAAAAAAAACCACCCGCAUAAAUCUAAAAUAUGGUUUUAGACCAAUACUACACAGGUGCUUGUAAGAGCUUUUUUGCUUUUUAAUUUUUAACUUUGCUAUUCAUCAUGGAUGAUCUAUUUUCUACAGUUCGAUUCAAGUUUGGACUAAAGAUACACAAGUUACCGUAGCGUGAUUACAAAACAAACUAGUAUUUUAUCCCGUACUAUGCACGGGUUUACACGAGAAGGAGGCGAAAUAUGGCCAAACACAAUACUAUUAUCCCUUUCUUUCAUAUUCUUUCCCUUCGUGUCACUUUUGAAUCUAAUUUUCUCGCAUCCCUACAAACUUUCGUCGUUCCUUCAAAUUCUACUGAUUUUUUUUUUGUAUCCCUACAACCCUUUCUCAUUUUAUCAAAUCAUAUUUUCUCUUUGAUCUAUCUCGCUCCCACCCAAUUAUCAUAUCUCUUAUCCAAUUUUACAGCCCAUUUGUCUCCUAUUCUACCAUUAUUUUCAUCUAUUUAUAAAUGUAAAUGGUAACCUAUUUACUUGGCUCGCCUAUUAACAAAUGAGUUUGCGUGUGUAAUUUAAUUGGAUUCAAAUGGGUGACCAACUUAACCCAUUAAUUAGUGGGUAUGAAAUUGAUAGGUUUGGAUCACUUAUUUUGACUUAAUUAAAUUAGACGUAGAUUCAAAGUCAAUCAUUAGUGGGUAAAUCUAAAUUACUCUAAUAAUUAUAUUCUAAUUUUUGCAAAGAUGUAUUCAUAAUUUUUCCUCUUCUUUAAUUUCUAUUAUUUUAUUUUUAAAAAUUUAUCCAACUUCCUCCAUUCCUUUCAUAAAUGUUUAAUAAAUUUCAUGAAUGUUAAUUGAUUGUUUGCAUUACUACCUAAAUUAUUUUUAGAUAGUCGUAUAGUGACAAAAUUUGAAACUCACUAUGAUGAUCAUUUUUGGCUCCUUUCAGCAAUUUUUUUAUAUUUUUUCUCUUUCUUUAGGUAAAAAUUGAUUAUUAAGUUGAUAUGUUGAUAUGAUUUACUAUUUUGUUACUAAACAAAAUGUGGAUAAAAAAGUAAAUAAAAUUUAGUAGUGGGUCGUGAAUGAGUGAUUGGAUAAUCCAAAUCCAUAUAUAACUAUAUUCAUUGACUACUCGUUUAUUUUGAACCAUUAACUAAGUAGGAAUAUAUAGAUUAACCUAAUUAUAAUUUGUCCAAACUCACACGAAUCAUCAAAUUUGAUAACUGUCCCCUAAUCUUUACCUUCCCCCUAAUCUUUACCUUCCCUAACCCUACAGGUCUAUCUUUCUAAUCCUUUCACUAUUUAGGAUUCAUUAUCUCACUUUUUAAGUGUUUUUGGACAUAUAAAAAGUUAGAAUUAUUUUUCCAAGUUGCUGCCUCAUUUUUAAGUGUUUUUAAUCAAAUAAAAAGCUAGAAUUGCAAUCAUCGAGAAAAAAUAAACUUUCGAAUGUAAAUUUAGUGAAAUACAACCUUUUUAUCAAAAUUUUGCUAAAAUACCACCAAAAACAACCUUCUAAAUACACCUUUAUUAAUUUAAAAUUCAUACAUAAAUUUUUCUUUACAUACAUUUUUUGGUGUACAUGUGCUCAAUGAAAAGUCAUCUAGAUGCUUGCACGAUAUUGCUAUUGAGUUUAUUCUAAUUGCAAAUAAAAUAUCAUAAUUGUUAUUUACAUACUCCAAUUUAAUGUUAGAGUAUAAUUUCAACAUUCAAAUUUUAAAACUUUAAAAAAACAGACCUAUUGAUAAAUGAUUACUGUACCCAGAAGGAAAGCGAUAAAGAAAUAAUUGGGUUAAUAACUUAAAAAUAGGACUAAUUACAUUAUCUCAAGGAUUUGGCUAGAUAAAUUAAUCCUCUUUAAUGAAGGAAUAAAAGGGGUUAAAGUGAUAAAGAUAUAAUAGGGUGAAUAAUUUUAAAAUGAGACUAAUCAAUUAUUCUUGAGAAUUUUGGCUUGACAAAUGUAUUUUAUUUAAUUAAGGAGUAAAAAUGACUUAAAGUAUAAAUAAUAAACUGUAAACGGUUUAUGAAGGAGAUAGUGUGAAAGUUUUAAAAUUUAAAUUUGACUAAUGAUAGGAUUAGUUAUAACCCACUAUUUUAAAGUUUUUAAUUAGAUUUUAUAUAUUAAAAUUAAUACAAAAAUAUGAAAAAAAAGAAUGAAAAGUUUGGAAGCCAUUGAGAGGGUCUCUGUAAAAAAAACCACUCUACAAUACAUAUAGAUAUAGAUGCUGCCAGUUUUUGCGGCCAGGUCCAUUCUUUAUAAAGUCUUUCCUUAAAUGUCAGUCCUAAAAAAUAAACUAAAAUAAGAUAAUAAAGAAAAAACCGAUGCACCAGAGUGAGUCCUCAAUCGAAUCGAAAUCUACUCGAGUGAGGUAGGUAAAGAUCGUGUUGGAUGCGGGACUUAAUGCUGACCUGAGAGGGAGAAUUAAAGGCAAAGGUCCAAUCUCUUUAUUUGCCCACCAGCAGGCACCAUCCUAUGUUCGAUGAAAGCCAAGACAAAAGUAGUACUUUUUUAAGGAUGCGUAUUUAGUUUAGUAAUUUACAAGGCUGGAGGACUUAAUAUGGCCCUCUCUACUCUUUGUCUUAGUAUAAUGCGCGCAGAGGCUGUUUCCAGUUCUAGUUUCUGACGAAACGACGCUGCAGCUCUGUCUUGGCAACACAGGCUUACCAGUAACACGGACCAGACCUUCAUUGUCCCGUGUACAUACGAAAGUCCAGCCCAAGAAACGCUGACAAUUUUGCGAAGCCUAAUAGUGUCGCACAUGGAACUCUUUUUAACAUUUUACAUACCACUUCACAAUACUAUGAUACUUGGAUCCAAACGUGGGGGUUGACAAAUACUACAAAUUUUAAGUCGCUGGGAACCGUGACAGCAACGGGGAUACUUAAGAAAGACGGUGCAUCUUGUUGACAACAAAAUAUUUUGGUAAUGGACCUUUUAGGUUGAUUUUGAUCGUUUGCCUUAUGCUGAGUGGACACGAUGCAGGAUCUUAGUGACGUACCAGGACUAGGAGAUUGCAAAUAAUUGAGGAUUCGAUGUGAUCUACCACAAUAAAAUUGAUGGCACACCACAAUGUUCCCUGUCAAGGGCAAAGCGGAACACCCCAAAAGAGAGAGAGAGCACCUGUUACAAUCCCACGCCAAUACAUGCUAAUGUUGUUAAAUUCGAUCGGAUAGCGAUUCGGCUAAAUUAUUGAAUUAGAAAUUAAUUGGUUGAAUCGUUCUCGACAACUCGCUAACGUCAGCAUAAUGUUAUAUAAUUAUUUUAUAUUUUUAUAAGUUUUAGAAAUAUUAAAAUCAAGUUCUUCGUUAUAUUUGUUCAAUCAUAAAAGAUGUUCCAAAAAUAUUAGAUUUGCAAUCAAAUACAUACUGAAUAAUUAUAUAUAAAAAUAUAAAUUCAUGAUUAAAAUAUGUCUAUUCUUCAAAACUACUUGAAAAAUUAAAUUAAAACAAAUUAAUAUAAGUUGAAAUCACUGAUGCUAAAUUAAUGAGAUCAUAGGGAUAAAAAUAUCUUGAUUUAGAGAUUAUUUAAGAAAUCGGGUGAUUUUGAUAUUUACAUUAAAUGGUUGACGUUUUCUUAUUUCUACUGAUAAAUGAAAGUUUAAGUAACUCAAAUUAUAUUUGAAAAAAAAAGAAAAAAGAAAAGUUUAAAAAUUGAGUCAACCAGGCGAAUCAGGCCAUCGAUUUAACCAAUUUUUUAUGAUUUUAAUUGAUUUUUUAUCAAAGUAAUAAAUCAGUUCGAAAAGAAAAUUGAUUUACGGUAGGACUGGUUGAAUCGACCGGUCCGAUUCGGAUCUAACAACACUGGUACAUGCAUUUUGGGAAGGUCAGUUUUAAUCCUAGUCACAGUCUUACCCAAUUGGUGACGCCCGCAAACGUCCACUGUACCCUGGACCCCCUCACAAUAACUGCCAGAGUCGCUGUCACAAGCGCAAUUUAGUCAGGGAUGAGUGGUCAAAAAUAUAAAUUGGAGUGGACGUCAAAUCAUGCAUAAAGAUGUUGCUGAUACUUUAUUUCAUACAUAUAAAUACACUUUUUAUUUGGCGACGAAAUCAGGUGUGUCGAUCUGUCACUACAUAGUAUAAUCCAAGCAUAUGGGCUAAAAAAAUAAAAUAAAAAUCCAAGCAAGCAGCAAGCAUAUGGUGCCUACUUAAAAAUGAAAAAUUUCCAAGCAAAGCAUAUGAUUAGUCUGCAAGUAUGUGUACAAGUUGAUCAUGAACAGCAACAAAGUAUUUGGAGUUGAAGCGGUUGUUUCAAUUUCAAAAGCUCCAAAGCUUGUACUUAUUGGCAAACCAACCAAUCUUAACGAGAAGAAAGAAGAAAGAGAAGUAACCGCUCUCGGAAGCUUCGAAUUGAUCGAGUGAAGUAGGAUGAACUUAACAAGCAUUUGGCAUUCAUAAUACUUUUUGUCACAUGAGGAGGUCGAAAAAGAAAAUUCCCAGACAUUCCCUCCGGCUCCUACCACGAUCACCCCCGGAAAAAGGCUUAAAAGGCCACACGCCGGUGUCUCCCGACACUUAGACAUACCUACCCCUCGAAACGGCGCUAAUUAAAGACGAUCGAUCAACAAGCCAACCCAAAAAUAAUAAUAAACAACCAAAAGUGCUAGCUAGCAAGAUGUAGCUAGCUGCUUAAAGCUAAUCAAGCUAGAAUCUACACACCUAUCUCCCUAGUACUCGAUUAAAAAAAAAAAAAAAACACAUGAUGAUCAUGAUCAGGAUCAAGAUCAUUAAAAAAGCCUUCCUGGUAGCGAAUUAACGAGCAUCCAAACAUGGGUGAUGGAACCAUUUACAGGGGAUCAAUUUGAGUCACCACAAUGGGGCUCCGCACCACAUGCUUUCCAUCCACCCAAGAAAGUGAGCCGAAAACAGCACCGGAAUCACCAAUCACCAGAUUCUUACUGUCCGCGGUGACCGUCACAAAGUAGCUCAAUUUCCUCACUUUCUCCGUGAACACAAGUUUUGAGGGCUUCACAGCAACACCGACCCCCUUGGGUGCCUCCACCUUCACGCUGUAGACUGCAUUUGCUUCCCCGACGUUCGUCACUGUCCUGAAAAAGGUCUUGCUGGAAACCCCCGUGGAGGCACUCGAAAACGGUGCAGCAAUUGAGGGAUAGUUCAGGUUCUCAGGCAACGGCUUCCUCGCCGGGCAAUUCACCGGUGAUCUGGUGAUUACCUGAAUCGUCUUGGGGCCAUACUCAAUCGCGCAUAGAAAAUUCACGUAAUCACUAUUGGUUAAAUCAUAAACGAGCCCUGGAUCCAUGGCGAGACCGAGAUUCACGUGUCCAGCUCCAUAAUCGUAGGGGGUGGAUGGUUUCCCAGUUGCCUCAUCGAUCAUGGGAUGAAAAUUGUUGUCAAUAGUAGUAGCAGUAGUCAUCAUAGCAGACCUAAUUGCAGCGGGACUCCAAUCAGGAUGCGCGGAUUUUAGCAAGGCCGCCGCGCCGCUCACAUGAGGACACGCCAUGGACGUACCCGACAAGAUGUUGAACUCGGUCUUCCGAGUAUCCAAAUCCAGUCCCGUUGGACCGACCGCAUCAGUCCAGGCCGCCAAGAUAUUAACCCCAGGGGCUAUCAUGUCCGGCUUCAGUAUCUCGGGGUUCAAACCGUUGGGCCCUCUAGCUGAAAAAGAAGCCACCACGGGAGCCGGUUUGAUCCCAACUACGGUGCCCCCGAAAUUGAUCGUGGCAGUGGGAUUUGGAUGGGAGGCGGCAUAGGCUUUGAUGGCGUCACCUUCUGAAGCACCAACUGCACAAGUUGGAAGCAAAUGAGCAUCUCCAACAAGGCCUUCUCCGUUGGAAGCCCCAUUAGCCAGAAUCAUUCCCACACCUCCUGCCUUUUUCACCACUAGUCCUUUGGCCACUCUAGGAUUACUACCCCGGUCGCAAAUCACUAUUUUUCCUUCCACUGCGCUAGGCUCAAGUGAAUUCUCCAUGCACAGUGAAGUGGCCAGUACCCCGGAUUUACCGGGGUACACUACGGAGUACAUUUUCCCGUCCAGUGGCAACCCCGCGUACAGCGACACCCCGGAGAGUUUCCUACCGUCGCCAAGGAUAAUAUAAGCUGGGAAAUUCCGAUCAAUGGUGCCGGCUCCGACGGUGGUGAGCCAGGGAGCGAGGUUCGUCACGGACAUUCCAUUCGGCCCAUCAUUUCCAGCUGAAGACGACACAAAAACGCCCCGCGCAACGGCACCGUACGAUCCGAUUGCAAUUGGAUCGAGAUAAUAAGGAGAUGAAACGCCGUCACCGCCACCAAUUGAGAUGGAAAUCACGUCGACUCCAUCGGUGACUGCAGCGUCAAAUGCGGCGAGAAUGUCCGAAUCGAAGCAACCGGCACUCUUCCAGCAAACUUUGUACACUGCUAAUCGAGCUUUGGGAGCUACCCCUUUAGCUAUCCCGGCAGCAUAGCCCUCCAUGCUAGCUUCAAAAGCAUGCCGACCAGCAGCGGUGGAGGCCGUGUGGGUCCCGUGGCCGUCGGCAUCUCGGGGAGACUUGAACUCGAUAGUUUCAUUAAUCCCGCCCCCGAACCCUCCAAAACCAGGGGAAGCCUCGUGGCCUUUGGAGAAAAAUCUCGCUCCGACAAUUUUGCGGUUGCAGUUCUUGGUGGUGAACCUCACUCCGGCCUGGCAAACACCUUUCCAGCGAGCGGGGACCGGGCCCAAGUUCAGAUCGGAGAAGCUCCGGCGUUCGGGCCAAAUUCCGGUGUCAAACACUCCAAUAAUAACGUCGGAGCCAUAGUCGGAUUCGGACCAGAGACCCCUUUGGUUGCUAAGGCCCAGAAACUGAGGGGAGCGAGUGGUGUGGAGAUGUCGGCGGCGGUCCUCAAAAGCGGCGAGGAUAGAAGGGUGCUUGAGGACAGAGGCGGCUUGGGAGGGAGUUAAAGAGGCGGAGAAGCCGUGGAAAACUUUGUCGUAGACAUGGAGGAUGGUGGGAGAGGGGGUGAACUCGGAGGUGUACCAGUGGUAGUGGGUUGGGAAAAUGGUGGGCUUAAAAGAGCUGUCUAUUCGGAAGAUGUAAGUUUUGGGGGUUUGAUCAGGUGAAACGGCAACGGACUUUGAGACGGUAGUAAUUACAAGUACUACGAAAAAGAGGAGAAUUGGAGGAGGAAAUGAAGUAGCCAUGGGAGAAAGAAAGCUAGCAGCUCAGAGUCCAGCCAGAGAGUGUGAUGUUCAGACUUUUGAGACUGGGAUUUCCUCGUGGAGAGAUAAGAAUGAUGCUGGUGCAGCUGAGUUAUAGGAGGGAUUAUUGUCUCUCUCUCUCUCUUUUCUUCUUUUACUUAUUUACUAUUUUUUUUGUUUAAUUAAAGUAGGGUGGUAAUAAUUAAAGUUUUACUAGUGGUUAUUUUUGGUUUCAGGUGUGAAUUCUGUCUAAAUCAAAUUGGUUCAUCAAAAAUCUCGUAGAGAAAUUGAGCGUAAAUCUGAAUUAUUCAUCUCAUACAAUUAAAGACUAAAAAUUAGCAAUUACUACUGUACGAAUUUACAUAAAAUAUAUUUUGUUGGUUCAAAUACACGGACCGGUUUGAUUCCUUAUUUUGGCGGUUUUUAGAAUUUUCUCAAACAGAUUUCCUUAACACCAAAAAUAUACAAGUCAUGGGACGUUUUCUAGUUUAUUAUAAAUUUCUUCUAAUAAUGUUUGCGGACUAAGUAGAUAAAUUGAGUUAUUUAUGUACUGGUGGAGGUAGCAGACACUGAAUUAAGUAAAAUGUUUCUCUCAAGGUAAAUGAUGCGAAAGUGCCUACCGAAUUAGUUUCGUUUCUAAUUAUGAUGAAGCAGCAUGCCCAUCACUUUAUUGCAACCUCUCAGGUACUUCCACCAAAUAACUAAAAGUAAUUUAGUAGUAAUUGUCAUAUGCACUUUUAUUUAAAGGUUAGGAAGGCCAUUAAGUUAAUUAACUAUUAGAUCAUGGUACGAGGGUGACUCUAACGGAUGAAUUACCGGAGAAAUAAAAAGGGGGAAUUAUAAGUGAGUGUGUGUGGGGGAGAGUGGACAUGAUUUUGUCGUUUAUUUAUACGCUAUAAAGUAUAAAUUGAAGGCCACAUUGUUGAUGACUGCUGAGUCAUCAGACCUAUUUUGCGGGCGGGGGAACCAAAACAAAGCAAAAUUGGAUCUGCUACGAUUGAUUAUUGAUAGGUUUGGGGAGUGGGGUAUCACCAGCCAUCAGGAAUUCCCACAAUUCAAUUUUUGUUCCUUUGGAGUGGAGCGGCAAUCGCAUCUGUUUGGAAUAUGAGGUUUUUUUUAGAGUUUAUUUAAAAUUUUAUUGUAGAGUACUAUAGAAGUUUUUGAACAAAUUUUUUAUAGAAGUUUUGGUAGAGUGAAAAUUUUUUUUUGCUUUUUUUCUCUCUUUCUCUUUCUCUUUUUUUUUUUCUUUCUUUUCUUUUUCUUUUCUUUCCUCUCUUCUUUUUCUUCUUCCUUCCCCCACUCUUUCCCCGUUACCUCUGCCUCCCAGCAGCAACUCCACCAAUGCCACCUCCCGCCACUGCCUUCUGCCCACCAUUCCUUUCCUCCUCCUUCUGCCCACCACCCCCCUCUGCAACCCUUUCCUCCCCUUUCUCCCGCCACCCUCUCUUGUUCCACCAGAGCGCCUUCCCGUUCAAAAAUGGAUCCGGCGCCGGCGAUAAUAUCCCCGGAUUUUGACUCAUUUCAAAACUAGUUCCUUCAAGAAUUUCCAUCAAAUCUUCAGCAAAAUCAGAACCAACCCAUUGCUGUCUCUCUCUUUCCCUUUCCGACGGGCUAGUUUUCUCCACCGAAGCUAAACGAGCUAUUGAAGAGAGGUCACCUGCGGCAGUUGGGUGUUGCCUGGAUGAGGAGAACGGCCGGUGAGACGUUGGACCAAGUUCAUGAAGCCAGGCGCAUCUCCGCAGGAUGGGGGAGGAAACGACAGUGGUGGUGGGUUGGGAUGGGGGUGUAAUAACAAAAAAAGGGAAGGGAAAUUUUUUUUUUUUUUGUGUUUUGAAUAUUUUGAUGUGUAUAGGUAAAAAGUAUGGCGUCGGAACCAACAGUGCCAGUCGCUUUUCCCUGAUUUUUUUUUUUUUGCAAAUAAAAACUUGAUGGAUGGGGGGUGGGUCCUGAUGGAUUAUGCUAUUUUGAUUUGUUUUUGUCUAGUAUUUUACUUGCGAGGAUAUACGUUUAACAGGAUUGAUUGAUUGAUGCAACUAAUACUACCAGUUUUAAAAUUAAAAAACUUCCAUAAAAUGAAAAAGGAUUGAUGAAACGUUUGACAAAUUCGAAUAAUUCCAUGGUACAAUUGAUUUACAUGUGUCUGUCUGUCUGCGACCUUCUGCUUUUUCUUUUUCUCUUUUUUUUUAAAAAAAAAAAAAGUUCUUGCAUGGCUUGUUUGAAGUAACUCCAACAUAUAUGUUUCUAUUGUUGUGCUUUUUUUUUUUUGGGAUGUCAAUUUAUGUUUUGAACUUUCAAAGUUAGUGUCUAAUAACCAGUUUAAUUUACACUGAUCUCUUUCCAGUUUGGCAACAUGGUUAGUUUUUUUUCUUUUUUUUGGUAUUUUGCUUUAAUCAUCAUAUUAUGGGUUGCUGUUGUUUGGCAUUUCUUUUUUUUUUUUCUGUGUUUUAUUUAUUGUUCCUACAUUCUUAUCUUAUCCUGAAAUUGUGUUUUGUCUUUUUGACUAAAAUAUCUCUUACAUGUAUUAUCCAAUGCCAACUCAGAGUACUGUUGGUGGUAUGCAUAAGUAAUAAAUACAUGCAGUUCCAGUAGCGUUAGUGAAACAUGUUUGGAUCCUAUAGUUUUUCAAAAAUUAGUUUUUUAAAUAUUAUAAAAAUUUUUAAAAAGUAGGUAUUCUAUCUAAUUUUUUUUUAAUAUUUAAAAAAUAUCCCAAAAAUAUAUUUUAAAAGCUCUACUACUCUUAAAUAUUUCAAAAUAUUUUCUAAAAAUAUUCCAAAAUACACCCUAAAAAUUCUGCUAUGAUAAAAUUUUUUAAAAAUACCUUAAAAAACAGCUAAUCCAAACAAUAUCCCUGCAGAAAUAUCAUGAUCUUCUUCAAAAGUUGGUAGUAUUAUACGGCGUGCAUGAUUUAGAGGGUGAGACUCGAUGGCUGAUUAAAUUUGACUAACACUGAUUGGCUCCCUAAAAUAUCUUCCCUGUCAAAUUGGUAUAGCUAAGUCCUUAAACAUGAAUGAAUACCAAGACACCAUACAUCGAGUUCGAUCAUCCUUGUUCCCCAGUUUAUUCCAAUCAUAAACAAGAUUUUGAUCAUCAGGUCAGUCAGAAAGUUCGACAUUGGAAUCUUCCGCACAGUACAACUCCUACCACUACUGCGAGUAUUAGUAGUCAGCGUCCGUUAGUUUUGGGAUGAACACCAAACAUGCGGUACUGGGCCGUUCCUCGUACACAUCCUCUGCUACGUAGGAGUACCGUGUUUAUGCUGCAUGGGAGUAUAUAUUUCUCCCUCCCUCUCUCUCUUUUUUUUUUUUUUGGCAGCCGAAGCAUCAUCUUCUUGAGCUUUCAGCGUAGUACAUGUGGUGGGGUCCUGCAAAAUGAUCAGAUGUCUCCCAAUCCCAUUCAGUCCCAGGAGAAAAGCCAGAUGCUUGCUCAUCUAAAUCUAGACCGUCAAAACUGUUGGCCCCCCCCUCAAUCAUGGCUUCCUUCACGCUCAAGGUUGUUGCAGAAAGAAAGAAAGGGCGCCAAACUGCUGCAAUUUGAUUUCCGUGCCAAACUGCUCUAAAAAGUUAAAGGGCAGCCCGAUCGAGUUGGAUGCAUCUCUGACUAGUAAACUUUUUUAUUUUAUAGUACUGCUCUGCUAAUUGAGGUCCCAAAGUUAAAUGUAAACCCAAUUUGAUGACAAGUGAAUUGAACUCGAAAAGCAACAAGGAAGUAGUAUAUGGUACUGUAUAUGGUUGAAGUUGGAGGAUUGGGUCGACUUGAUUUCCAUCGUUUCAGGUAGUUAAUAGGAGGAGGAUCUUGAUUUGAUAACCGUCGGAUGGGAUGGGAGACUGUCGGCCUUACCAGUUACUUACUAGAGUCACAGGAAGGUGGCUCAUACAAUUAUGGAUUCCUUGCUCCUUCGCAUGCUACUGCUGUUGCACGAAAACGAAACCAAACUGCAGAUUGUAAAUUGUAAACAAAAGAAUGAAACGGUGCGUGACGGCAAUCAUCCAUAGGAUACUCCAUUCCCUUAAAGAGGUUCACAUCAGUUGCGUUUUUAAAUUCAUUGUGAUGCUUCUCCAUUUUUUAGUGGUCGAAAAAAUAAUCAAUUUCUUUUGCACUUUUGCAAACCUGCGAUUCAGGAUUUUUUUUUUUUUUUUGUGGGGGGUUUAGCAACCAACCAAUAAAGAUUUAGUAGUACGUGAUAGUUUCCCAAGAACUGUGCAGUAUAUGGAUACAUAUGCAUCCAUGGCUCUAAGUACGCAAGUAAUCAUGUGUGGUAACCAAAAACAUGAGUUUGUCAUGUUUCGGCUUGUAAUGACCACCCCCGCACACACACACACAUACACGAAAAAGAACGGACACGUGUAGGAGUAGUUGGAGUUGGCGAGUGGGACACUUCCAUCAAUUUCGCCACCGAUCACUGACCAAGCUUUCUUCCGUAAUUCUUAACAACAGGUCAUCAUCAUCUUAGCUAAGCUACUUCUGUUUUCGUUUUUCACGGCUGAAGGGGACUCUCUCUCGAUUAUAAUAAAGCUUUUGCUCUUUGACGAGGAAGAUUUGUCAUCCAUAGGUCCAGUAGUAGAUGAAAAUAGAAAGGCGGCAAUGCUAGAUGACCAGGUGAUUUCUAGACUGAUAAAUCGAGUCUACGGCACAAGCACACCUAUCAAGGUAGAGACACAAUCGAUACUUUGUCCUCGAUCUAGCUUCGAUGCUAAAACCAGUUAUGCAAAAGAUCAAGAAUAAAAGCAACACUAGUUGGACUAGAGUUAUGAACAAGAGAGAAAUUAAACCUAAAAAUCUUAUCGCUCUCCUCACAAAGGGAGGGGAGUAUUUAUAGUAAAAUAACUGAUAAGAGGAAUGAUGGAACCUACUCCUUGUUACCUACAAGGAGUCAGCCUAUGACGGUGGUGUCAGACAUAGGUCUGGGUAUAACAGCGGUGAUAGUCAUAUCAAUCUGUCUAAUAAUAGUUAGCUUUUGCUUGUAGGUAUCAGAUGCCGAAUAACUAGACAGGUCCAAUCGAAUGAGGUGGCCUCACAUCGGGAGGACAAAGAUGAGGAUAAACACCAAGAUAGUCGAGGUGAUCACCUCGACCUAAAAUGUGUUGGAUUGAGUCAUCUCGGUGAUGAGUUAAGUUGAGAAAGCCAAGGUGAGCGUCCACACUAGACACUCAAAUUAUUGAUGUCAAUUGAGCUCCAAGAAAUUGUAAUAGAGUAACAAACUAAGUAAUUGGCCACUAGAGGAGGGACUAAGUCCCUCCCUAAGCGUAGGUUAGGGUUGAUCCUCCUUGACUGUGUUUUUUCUCUAGAGUUUUUUGAGUAUUGCCAAAAGUUAUUUAACUACUUUCGAAUAUCUCAAUAGAUUAAAUAGAUUCAUUCCCCUUCCUUUCCCCUAGUAUAGGAUCAAUUGUAAUAAUAUUGUACUAAAAAAAACAACAGAGUAGCACAUGAGUUAGAACACUAUGUUAAAUAAGGUUCUUCAGUGGACUCCAUACUUAGCUCACCUCCAAAUUUUGAAAAGCAAUUAAUGUUGGAUGAUUUCUAAAAAUGUGAGUAAUAAAAUUUACUUUGUUUUCUACAUAAAAGAAAAACAAUAGAUCAUUUUACAUUUAUUCAAGUCUCUUAGUGCUCAAACACUUGCAAAUAUAAGACGGUCAAUAUAAUAAUAGGGAUUGAACCUUUUCAAGUAGUUUUAAUUACUUCGACUUUUGAAAAAAAAAAAAAAAUAUAUAUAUAUAUAUAUAUACCAUAAUUGAGCUAAAUGCAUUGUACUUGUUUCGAAAUCUAUAUAUCAAGGAACAUAUUUUUCCAAUUUAACCAUUUGCAACUCUAAAACGUACCUCUAUGAAAAGAAAAAAAAAUCAUGAUCUUGGAGCAGUUGGUAAGAAGGUUGCUAAUACUAAUGGGAAAUCGCAAAUUGGAUUCCUGCAUGUGGGCUUCAGAUUCUCUGUCCCCAAAAUAGUAUCUGACCCUUUGUUGUACAACUGUCAUGUGUCUCUAUCCUUUUGUUAACCCAAACUCAAAUAAAUCGAUAAUAAUCGGUUUACAAGUUUUGUUAACCCAAAUUCAAAUAAAUCGAUAACUCAAAACUUUUUAGAUAUUCAAAUAAACCGAUAAUUCAAGAAUGUUAGAUAUUGGAAUUUGAUUCUCAAAAAAUCAUCUGCUGGAUAAAAAUAAAAGAAUAGUAAUAAAAUUUCAACCACUCUUACUAAGUACACCUAAAACACUGCUAAUACUUGAAUAACCAUGGUUUAUCAUGUUGGUUUGUAAUAUCAAACCCUUGCCUAUUCAUAAUUCAAAAUUUCUAAAGAUUGUCGGAUUUUCCAUCUGUUGUGCAUCUACAAACAAAACCACCGGGACAUGGCAUGGGACAGCCGCAAAUUUCAUUACAAGCAACUAAACUUGAACUCGGUUGUCUGGAAAUGACAUUAAGGUCUAUAAAGUCAUUGACACUUGAUCCACUGAAAUUGUGUCCUACUUCAACCUAUAAAUGUAGAAAAAAUAAUUAUAAGUACUAAAAUAUUGAGAUGAAAUUCUGUUAAAAAGAAAAUAAAAAAAAGUUUUGAGUUAUCGAUUUAUUUGAGUUUGGGUUAACAAAAAGAUAGAGACACGUGACAGUUGUACAACAAAGAGACAGAUGGGACAGAGACUAUUAUGGGGACAGAGAAUCUGAAGCCCCUGCAUGUGACGCCUUAAAAAGUUCUGGUUCAAACCUUCACCUCUCGAGUAAGAGUCGAAUUUUGCGGGCACUCCCAGAUCAAAUCUGAAUUAGACUCACUGAUGGUGUGAAUACUGGGUGCUCAAAGCAAAAAUAAAAAAAUAAUAUUUGUUUAAUCCGAGGAAAGGGGAAAAGAGAAUAGAGCUAGAUGCCAGAACUGCUUUUAGUCACUUCCAUGGACCAAGCCUUGUAAUGGUCUUAAGGUUGGAGCAGCAAAAGCUGCAGGCAUUGGAGGACGUGGAGCAACUAAGGUCGCCCGAGUAACAACUAAGGGCCUAGGCCUACAUUUGCCGGUCCAUUAGUACUGGGCGAAGGAACCGACGCCCACGGACACGGUGCCUGAGUUUCCUGAGAGAUCUUUUCAUUAAUUGUUACUUAUGAUGUAGUGCUACUACAGUGCUAUAUUUUUCUCCCGUCUGGACUCAUGUAUAGUCCUCCAAAUUUAUUGAUUUUUUUAAUAAUCAAAAUUACUGAAAAAUACAAUUUAAAGUGAAACCCACAAAUUAACACCAUUAAAUCAAUUGAUAAUUGAAAGUGCUAUUGAGGACCUUAAAUUCAGGAUAACUACUCCACAAUCUUUCGAUGUGGAAUGAGAAGCUUAUACAAUUCUGAGUUUUCAGAUUAUGGAAAAAUUUGGAUUCAACACAAAUAACAAAACUUAGUUACACUGCCUAUGCAUAUGCACUACACAUUUUAUGGUGCACAGCUUCAAACAAUUAAAUUUAUGGGGCAUAGAACCACCAUUAGAAUCUAAAACAUUUAUUAGUCACCAUAAAAAGGCUCGAGUAUCUAAGUAACAAUAAUGUUCGUAUAUUUUCCAGUAGUCUUAAUUUUGUUUCAACAUCAUUGAGUUGGUUGUUGCAGUAGGCCUGCUUUUGUAGGAAGCAUCAAGAAUGAAGUGAUAGAUUGCUAUUCCAGCUUGGUACUCGUGCAAUCACCAAAAUAUCAGUCAUCAUUGUUGUACACAAAAUUGAUGAUACAGGUUAAAAAGAAAAAAAACAGCAACACUUGGGAAUCCUAUACAGGUUACAGGCUUACAGCUGGAAGGAAGAACCGACGGAGACCUGAUAUAAUUCAAAAUAAAUAUAUAACUGAACAGAUGUGCAAGAGAGCACAGUAAUGUGAAAGUAAGUAGGUCCAGGAUGGAAAAUACCAAAUUUAUGAUUUAAGAGCUUUUAAUUUCUGAUACGCAAAUUUGGGGUUGAACUACUUGGUAAAAUUCAGUUAGCAAGUAUCUACACUUUCUUUUGAAAGUUUCAACCCUUUGUGAAUUGUGAAAGACGCGGUGAUGCAAACAACCUUUCAUAGAUUUUUUUGAUAGUCGAGUUCUUUAUCAUCAAUUAUCAAGGAGUUGAGCCAUUUGGACUUGGCGUUUGGUAUUUUAUGCCGACGCUUCAGCAUCAUUGGUACCUGCGGUCAAUGUCAACUUUAACCUCUUCUUUUCUUCUCCAGUCUAUUUUUCCCGCAUAUUUUUUUUACCAUACCCCGACUACCGUAUUUACUUACUUACGUAACGAUGCUGUCAAAAGAUAUACUAUAGUGCUUUGUUUUGCAGCAUUAAAAGGCUCAAUCAAGGAGCGUGAACCUUUGAAAGGCAGAAUGAUUGACUGGUAGAAACCUUUGCGCGUCCACCCUAGAAAAAAGAUUUAAGGACUGAGCACGGAGGGAUCUAUCUAAAAUUAAAGGCGAUCGAUCGGUGAAAAAAAAGUGGCGUCUGAAAAAGCAAAUUAUCACCGGAUAAUGUUAUUAAUUAGUACAAGAUUAGCGCUAGGAGUAAGGUUACAAUUAUCACCAGAUCCACUUGGAAAAAGAACAGACAAAAGGCCUCUCAGGUCGGCGGAUGGAGUCAUUAGGUAAAGUAAGAUGCCAAAACACAUGACUUUGACACGUCUUUAAUUAUUCAGUUGUUCAUCUUUAAUGAUUCAUUUGACUCUAUCCUGAAUGACGUCCAUCCCCAUCUCGGUCGGAUCCGUUGCCUGAACUUCGUAGUGGAUCCCAUCCAGCACUCUCCUCAGUCCAUCUUUUGAAGUUGCGUACAGCAUUUUUGCUCUAAUUCUUGAUUCCUCCGGAGACCUGAUCGAGAUCAUCAACGUACUUGCAACACAUCAACUCAAUAUAACAGACAAAAAUGAUCUGUCUAAUUAAUUAGUAAUAAACACAAAAGAUUACUUCUGCAUAGUUGGCCCAUAGAUUUGUUGAAUUCGCUCUAGUCUCUAGCGAUAUUGACAAAAGGGGAAUAAAUGUAUGCAUAAAGAUUGGUAUCAGGGGGGGAACCACUGAUCAGAGAUAAAAGAAGCAGAAGAAAAUCAGUUACUAGAAUGAUAAGCAGGUGGGAGUAGUGGCGGACCAUGCGAUGAAGAAAAUCUUGCUCUUCCGGCAAUUGUCGACGGUGACAAAGUCGAAAUCAAAGACUGCAUAACGGCAGUCGUCUUUGGGCAGGGAGGCAGCAAGUUGUUCGUAGCCUUCACCAGGUCCACCCACCUUGUCCACCGUCACCAACCUAGAACCUUCAUCGAUCUUGAACACUAUGAAUCUGUGCACCUUCUUCCACUUCAUCUCCAUGAACGAGUUCUUGCAUUCCUCCGUUACCCACAUCCCUGUUGUAGCCUAUCAUGCACGCAUAUAAUAUGUUCAACAAGACAAACACGAUGUUGCACGCUAAUAAAUAAUUGGGCCUGUGUCUCCUAUACAUGCUUGAUCUGCAGCUUGCCUCAAUAUAUGUGCAUAUGUGUACAUGUAAGCCCGGCCAAAUUAAAACACAAAUUACUAAAGAAGAUGAAUUAUGCAGAGAAAACGAUGAUCAGUGUGCAAUAAUUGAAUGAACGAUAGAGAAGGUAAUUUGAGGGUGCACCAUUUUGAAGGCCAUCGCCAUCUUGUUUGUGGUUGCAAAGUUGAGAGAAGCUGCAGGCGGUCAAUUUUGUCAGCUAAGCAAGCGAAUUGAUUUAACAUCCAAGUGUGGAUCGAAUAAAUGGACCAUAGGGGUUUAUAUACAAACUUUACUACCUAAAAAGCCAUUCAGAUUUAUGGUAUAUUACAAAGGUGUCCUCAUGAGAUGAGAUCUAUUUCUUGGCUUCUGUACUCUGUGCUCUGUAGUCCUGGGGGUGGAUCUGAAUGACGGAAAUGACCCUCCAAGGGAGCUCUGGUUGCCUUGGAAAAUGUUGCCUGGUUGACCAAAUGGAGGAGUUGAUGUUCUCUAGGCUAUCGGCCUCAAAGAAUGUUUUUUCACACGAGGCGGGGGCCUUUGUGAAUUAAGCAUAGUUAAAUACUAGUACUACUAAGUACUAACUAAAUGGAUCAAGGUUAUAUAAUUCUGUAUUGCCCUUGGUUUAUAUAUUUGCCAAUGUUUGAUCUUCUUCUUAGCUAUAUAAAGUCAUUGAUGAGUUUCCUGUAAAAAAACCCUCUGCUUUCUGCGCAUCCAUCCUUGAACUCAUCCAUUCGAUCCCAUCUUCUUUCCAGUUCCACUGGACCACGCCAUGGCCAUUGACAUUAUUGCUAAAGUUGAUGGCUUUUUUGCUAGUUGUCAGCGACUCACCAACUUGGGUAUAGUUUAGGUGUUUGAUAUCUGCUCCUGUGUUUGUGUAUUGAAAAUCUUCACCUGUUCAUCAGAUUACCCAAUAUGUAUUUUCGUAAAAAUUUCCGGUCAUCUCCAUCGACAACCAGAUUGUAACAGUAAUUUCUGACCGGAAAUCAAAUGGUACAUAUGCGAAACGAUACAUAUCCAUUCUCAUGCUUGAACCUAAAAAAUCUUGCUCAUGAAUCAGAAUUUUAUUAUACAAAAAUGCGUUAUAGACCGCGCUCAAUCAGAGAGAAGAGAAUACAGUGCAAACAUGUGGUCUCUAGGAAGCGGGCCUCAUCACCGACGGUACACCUACAUGCCCCCGCAUUUCCCUCACUUUGAGUUCCUCAACUCGAAAAGAACCUUGGCGUGGAAGCAAAGGUGAAGAGUCCAUUCGUCCCCCAUCGACAUCGAUUGGCAAUAACAACUACUGUAGCGAUAACAUGUGGUACGUAUACAAAUUCUGUGGAAAGCGGAGCGGUGAAAUUUCUUGCUUUAAAGUAAUUGAGUCAAUGUCUCACCGAUAGAGCUUGAGCUUCCUUUGCCAGUUUUUUUUUUUUCUUUUUUUUUUCUUUUUUGGGUAUCUUUAUGAUUGAGAUCUACGAUCUAUCUAUCACUUUGGUGAGUUGGUCCCUAAUUUUUUCUAAACUAACUAAUCCCUAAGCACCUUUAGGCAUCCCAUAAAAUGUUUCUAGGAAUUUGGCAGAUAAGAAGAGCGCAGCAUUAUCCUGAUCGUGUUCACAUCGAAAUAGCAGUAUAGCAAAUGCAUGUAAGCGGGAUAUGAUUGCAAGAGACAUUCCACGAGCACCACAGAAACAGAGAGAAUGGAGAAAAACAACAGAGAGCUUACAAACACUAACGUCUAACAAUGUCUAUCAGAGCAAGUGAACAGAUAGAUGAUGGAGAGUUGGACAUGGGAACGUGGCUCUUUCCUGCGGCUGGCCCCUAUUCAUUCCAUCAAAAGAAACAUAAUAAUAUAACAUCUCCAAACUUAACUGGAUUUGCAGUCCAACGAUUUCAUUAUGAGCUGAUUUGAUAGAUGAGGCAACUUGUAUGACUAUGAUUUUUUUUUUUCAAAGAAUAAGAAAACAGUACAAAAAUAAGAUAAAAGAGGAAGGAAGUUAAAUGAAUUCGAGGUAAUUGAUCUUUGAUACCAAUGGUUAAAAACGACUUCCUUGCACCUUAAAUGAUCAUUAUGAGUCAAAAUGUUCAGUAAUUUGUGAAAUCACAAAUUCGAUGGUUCCGGGAUUCUUGAAUAAAAAUGAAAUAAAAUCCCACUUUCUCGUGGCCAAAGAUAGGGCAGCCAGGUUAUGGAUAUAGUUGAUUUAUUUUCUUACCUGCUUCGUCCCAAACAUGUCAUGAAUCUUUUGUCGAUUCUCAGCCUCUUCCUCGUGGAAGUACCCAAAUUCGAUGGUGCUGCAUAGUUCUCAACUCAGGUGGAUGUGCCACAGCAUGUGUUGUGAAUUGAUUUUGGCUCAAAAUUCUCCUCGCUCGAUUUUCCAACAUUUCCGACAUAUGUUGCUAAAUUUGUGAUUUGCAUGUUGGGAUGUGUCACGAGGUGUUUACUUCCCUUAGCAAAUCACACACGUAAUGGCACUGGUAAGCCACGCUACCAGUCAACCUACAAACUUACUUGCACACAAGUAUUCAAUAACGUAGAACAUUUAGACAAAAUAAGAGGAACACACGUACAAAUUACAGCCAGCACGGCUAACCUUGCAUUUCACAAUAACGAUUACAAUGAAUUUUUACAAACACCUGGCGUGCAGAACUUCUAAGGAUGAUUCUCACUAUUUGAGACUCUUUCCCCUUUAGUCUCUGUCUAAUCCAUUAUUUAUAGGCACAUUUACGGGGGACAAGAGACUCAACCGCUGAUCUUAUCUGAACAUCCACAAAAUUAGAAAUCCGCUAAGAACGAAGCUGAGUUGGCUGGUAACCGCCAACAACUCCCAACAAUGGUCAACAACUGCCCAACAUUCCUUUUUGGAGUGCACGGCAACGGCCGCACACUUUUGCGCGCCCAGCUUUCCCGCCAUCGUCAACGUUUCGCGUCCAAUCUUGCCCAACACUUAGCAACUUAGGCACCGUGGUUCCUAACACUUGAAACUACCCGAAACAACCUACCGAGCCAUAGUCAUUCCGUGAUCUUAGCCCCUAGCCCUUGGUCUUGAUUUGACUUAGUCACAGUUAUCCCUCUAUAUAUAUGUCUUAAGGCAUCCCUUUUUUCCCAAUUAAUUUAGAAACAUCUGAUGCCUCUAAAACUUUCUCCAACUCAUACUUAGGCUAGGAAAAUAUCAUCUAACACUGAUCCACUUGUUCCCAACAAGCUUCACCUUCGGCCUUCCCACCUAAGCCAUGGCUGGCACAACUUGGUCACGGGCCCGCGUGUUCCGUCUGGACUGCGCCCUAAGGGGCUAACAAACCACCUCUACCUGAAGAGGUUGACGACCUCGUCAACUUGGCUUGCUUCCGCAUGUUCCUCAGGUACUCAGCAAUUUUAUUUUCGAACUGCCACAAGGUCACGUCCCGUUCCCAAGUAGCGUCCAGCUUGGUCUCCCCCUUCCACUGGACUAGAUAAUCUGUCCGUCUAUUCUUUUUGCUCUGCCCCAUGGUUCUGUGAUCCAGCAUUGCCUCCACAUCUUUCUGGAAUUGCUUGCGGAUCACCGGCGGAGUACGUUUUGCUUGCCUCCGUCCUUCAUCCAUCUCAUCCUGGUUGAAGGAUUUUAGGAAACUCACAUGGAAGGUCGCGUGGAUCUUGAGUCUGUCGAGCAGUUUUAACCGAUAGGCUACAUGACCCACCUUCUUGAUCAUUUCGAACGGUCCAUCGUACUUCGGAAUAAACCCACGAUGGACUGUCUUGCUGCUUACUUUCUUCCAAAUCUGGGGAGUCAGUUUCAGCAUCACUUGAUCUCCCACCGGGAAUUCCAAGUCCGGGUCUAUGUUGGUCCGCAAACUUCUUCAUGCAUUGUUUCUCCACUGGCAAGCUAUCCCUCACUUCGUCCACCAGUUCGUGCUUAGCACGAGCAAACCGGUGUACUGCUGGGCAACGACUCCUGCCUUGAAGUGCAAUUUCAUGAGCAGUCAGAGGUUGUUGUCCAUUUAUCAAUUCGAACGGACUCAAUUUCGUUGCUGAUGACUUGUGCAAAUUGUAGCAAAAUUGCGCGGCAUCCAGCAAUUUCAUCCAAUUCUUCAGACUUGCCGUCACGUAAUGGUUUAGGUAUUCCUCCAACAAGGCAUUGAUCCUCUCCAUUUAUCCGUCGGUCUGAGGAUGGGCGGCAAUAGAGAACUUAAAUUCGGAACCACCCAACAGUCCGAACAACACGAUCCAGAAUCUCCCCGUAAAUCUGGUAUCCUUAUCACUUAUGAUGUUUUCGGGUAAAUUGAAGUAUUUCAAACAUUUCUGAAAAACAACUCAGCGACAACAUCAGCCGGGCACGCCUUCGGCGCACCAAUAAAGAUAGCAUACUUAGAAAAUCUAUCUACAAUUAUGAAAACAGAAGCCAUACCAUCGACCUUAGGAAAUCCCGAAAUGAACUCCAUUGAGACCGAUUGCCAUGGUCAAUCAGGGAUUGGCAAAGGUUGCAACAAACCUGACUCCUUUUUCCUUUCCACAUUAUCUUGUUGGCACACAAGACACGUUCUCACGUAUGCUUCGAUAUCUUCUUCCAUCUUUGGCCAGUAGAAGCUCCGCGACAACAAGACCCGUAUUCGUUCCACUCCGGGAUGACCAGUUCAAGGAGUGUCAUGGGUCUCUCUCAGCACCUGUCGCCUAAGUUCCCCUCCUGCUGGGACAUAAGCUCUACUACUCUUGGCAAAGAGUAAGUCGUCUUCAAGCCAGUAAUGACGAAUUUUGCCCUCACAGACUUGAGUCAUUUGAACUUGUCGAUAUCCUGAUCUCAAGUCAAUUUUGGUGUAGAAUCAUGCCCUCGCCAGACUGUCGAACAAGGCACAAUAAUCCAUGUAAAAUCUCCAUGUUUCGUUUGCUUUCUUUCGGAAUAAUGCUGGAGCACUGGAGCACUCAAUGGUCUCAGCGCUUGGCUAUCUAACAGUUAGUUCAGUUGGCACCGCAACUCCGCCAACUCCAUCGAGGACAUACGAUAAGGAGCUUGGGCAAGGGGUUGGGCCCCUGAAACCAACUCAAUUCUGUGCUCCACAGCAUGUCUAGGAGGCAGCCGUUUCGACAACUCCGCAGGCAUGAGGUCUACGAAUUCCUCCAACACAUGAGCCACGCCAUCGGGCACUUCCUGGUACAUGUCAGGUUUCAUUUCGACUAACGCGGCAAUGUACAUCACUUCGCCAUGCCUAAGGCUGGACUCAAUUUGUACCGCCAACACCAAAUUCUUUCGUUGGUUGCUCUUUUGUUUUGGCAACCUUACUACAGCAAUAAAGCCUGGAUUUUGGUCGUCAUCCACUAUAACACCGUCCAAGUGCGGAAUUGGGUAGAUCCUGUUGGCAACCAUGAAGUUCUUGCCAAGGAUCAAGUCAAAGUCGUCCAUUUGACUGGCCAUGAGGCUGCACCAUCCCUUCCACGGCCCCAACUCCAAUUCUACCGUUGCUACGCCCAACACUGGCUUGAUUUCAGAGUUGACAGCCUUCAACUUGAAACCGAAGUCUUUUAACUUCAAUCCGAACCGAUUCACCACGCAUUCCGUCAUACAACUGUGCGAUGCUCCAGUAUCCACCAUCGCCAGUAUCUGGUUACCAUUCAACGUAACUGAUAGGGCAUAAUUUGUUGUUAAUUUUAUGGUUAAUUUCCCUCUUUGUUCUUGUCAAAUAUUAUUUUAAUUGUUGAAAUGUACUUAUAUUUGAUAUUUGGCCCUAAUUACAGGAAGUGGAGCAAACAAGUGCUAAAAAGGAGACUUUAUUGAGAAAAACACUCCACAUGGGAAGUUCUAAAAGGAAAUACAAGCCGGGCUCCACAGGAUGCUACAAAAAGGGAUUUCCUAUCUUUAUGCUGAAAAGGGUGGACUUGUACUAGGAGUCUUACGGGUAAAGAGGAAACUAAAAACAAGAACUUUGGCAAAGCUCCAAUUCUUUGGCACUUGGACUCUCAAUUCAGUGGGGACCACUAGAGAUAGCAUUAGAUUUUCUUUUGGCUUUAAAAGAAGACAAACGUACGGGAGGUUUUCUUAUCAAUAGUUUUAGCUUAGUUUUUAGCAUAAUUUAAUUUUAUUCUUUCUUAGUUCCUUUGAUGGCCUGGACCUCAAUAAAAUUACUUGGAGAUUUUUUCAUGAGGCGUGGCUAAAUUUCUCAUUUAAUCGAAGGUCAAUUUGAGGAUUCGGUCCCGAACAUCUGUGAGAUCUAAUUAUUUUACUUAUUUCCUUUAUUUAUUGGUAUUUGUACGUUUCCUGAUUUAAUUGCCUAUGCUUGUUAUGUUAUUUGAAUGUCAAGGGCCCGAUAUUCGAAUUAAUCUAAUAAUCUACUGUCAAAUUAAUUGAUUGAAUCCGUAAUUGUUCAAUUGAUUAAUACCAGUGGCGACUAGCGUGAUUGGUUUCAUGUUAGGGAAACGUAUGAUCUAACUUAAACAAACCCUCGUAGCGUGUUUGUUGGUUAGGAUUGAAUUUUUCUAAUUAUUAAUGCAAACGAGUAAUUCAAUCCUAUGGUCGUACUUAGAAUUAUUUCUUGGUUAGGGAAAUAGUUAACGGUCGUACCUUAACUAUCGAGAAAUUAAGGAAAAGCUGGUUGUUCAUCGCGUGUAUGACAACUAUAACUAAUCUAUUAAUGAGUAAUUGAAUUAUCUUUGCAUCGAUGAUUAGUUGCAUGGACCGUGUCUGAAAAGUUGUAACUUUGGCUAGAGUCAUAUUGGUUAUUGAUUAAUUUCUAUUUAUUUCUAUUAGUUGUUUUAUUAGUUAGUUAAUUAGUUAUUUUAUAUUCUCCAAAAACCUCCCAUACUUCGGACUCUAAAAGAAAUAAAUUAUCCCCAAUCCCUGUGGAUUCGACACUGCUUAUCACUAUCUACAGAAAUUAUAUUUUGUUUGAGCAGAUAUUUAUUAUUGCACAGGUUCGGCACCUGUCAGUAACUUGCACAUACAUCAAACUAUUGUAAGUAGUGCGACCAUUAUUACCUGUGAUGGGGUUCACGAACUGCAUGGGGUUGACCCGUGCAUCCUACAUCUCGAACUGGUCACCAUCAUCUUCUACUAUUAAGGCACUAACAUUCUGAUCCUUUUUUUUGUUGGGAUAAUUGCGGGCUAAGUGUGGUCCUUCGCAGUUAAAGCAGCCAUCCUUCUUCAGAUUUGAUGCUUGCUUUUCUUUAGAAGAAGAAGCACCGCCGGUUUCGGUCGUAGACAUCGACUACUUCUUUUUCUUCUUCUUCACGAACGGUCCACCUUUCAGAUCCUUGCCCUUCUCCUUCUUCUUGUCAUUGGAUCCCAUGGACGUGAAGUCUAUCAACUUCCCUGUCGCAACGAGUGCUUGAGACACGGUCUGAACAUUCUGUCUUCGCAACUCCAUCUGCACCCAUGGCUGCAGUUCACGGAUGAAGGUGUAGAGUCUGUCUUCCUCAGACAUCUCCUUCACAUCCAACAUCAGGGUCUGGAACUCAGCAACGUACUCGUGUACGCUCUUACUCUGUUUCAAGUUUCACAAUGCGUCCCGAACUUUUCACGAAACAUUCGUGGGAAGGAAUUGCUUAUUUAAUUCCUCCUUCAGUACAUCCCAAGUCUCAAUCUUGGGUCUGAUGGAGUCUGAUUGCACCACUCUCCAUCACAGCUUUGCAUCACCGCUAAGGUACAUUGAUGCAAUGCACACUUUCUCCCCUUCUGGAACGUUAACAGCCUUGAAGUACUGUUUGACAUCCCACAAGAAAUUUUCCAGAUCCUUCGAACUCCUAUUCCCCUAGUACGGUUUCGGCUCUGGGACUUUCACUUUCCCCUUCGAAGAUUUUUGAACAGUCUGUGUGUUAGAAGAGCCAACUGCCUUCUUCAACAUAUCGAUCUCGAAUUGUAAAGCCACGAUCUCUGUAUGGGACGAAGCCACUUCGUUCCUCGGCGCCACAACAUCCCCAACGGAAGAAACCGUCUGCCUGAUUUCCUCCAUCUGCGUUGUUAAGGUGUUGAUCGUCUCUCGAAUCUGCAACAGAACUUCCAUGACGUUGAAGCCCUCAGGAACGUCUCCUAGACGCUGCAUCAAGUUCUCGAAGGCAAGUUCCUGAUGUUGCAACCGCUCUUGGACAGUAUUCCCGUGUCCAACCAUCAUUACCUUCAAAAGAGACACAACAAAAGCACGGUCUAAUGGAUCAGAGCCGUGCUCUGAUACCACGUUAUUACGAGGUGUUUAUUUCUCUUAGCAAAUCACAUACGUAAUGGUACUAGUAAGCCACGCUACCAGUCAGCCUACAAACUCACUUGCACACAAGUAUUCAACAACGUAGAACACUUACGCAAAAUAAAAGGAACACACGCACAAGUUACAGCCAACACGGCCAACCUUGCAUUUCACAACAACGAUUACAAGGAAUUUCUACAAACACCUUGCGUGCAAAACUUCUAAGAGUGAUUCUCACUAUUUGAGACUCUCUCCCUUUUAGUUUCUGUCUAACCCGUUAUUUAUAGACACAUUUACGAUUGACAAGAGACCCAACCGCUGGUCUUAUAUGAACGUCCACAAAGUUAGGAACCCACUAAGAACGAGACUGAGUUGGCUGGUAACCGCCAGCAACUGCCAGUAACGGUCAGCAACUGCCCAACAUUCCUUUUUGGCGCACGGCAACGGCCGCACACUUCUGCGCGCCCAGCUUUUCCGCCAUCGUCAACGUUUCGUGUUCAAUCUUGCCCAACACUUAGCAACUUAGGCACCGUGAUUCCUAACACUUGGAACUAUCCGAAACAACCCACCGAGUCAUAGUCAUUCCGUGGCCUUAGCUCCUAACCCUUGGUUUUGACUUGAUUUAGUCACAGUUAUCCCUCUAUAUAUAUAUAUAUAUAUGUCUUAAAGAAAAACUUACAACUAUUAGUAGAAGCAUCCCUUUUUCCCCAACUAAUUUAGAGACAUCUGAUGCCUCUACAACUUUUCCCAACCCAUACUUAGGUUAGGAAAACAUCAUCCAACACUGAUCCACUUGUUUUCAACAAACUUCACCUUCGGCCUUCCCACCUAGAUCAUGACUGGUCGAACUUGACAAUGACCGCACGCGUUUCGUCUGGACUGUGCCCUGAGGGGCUAACAGGAUGUCAAUAAAGUUUCUAAUUUCGUCGCCUUUUGCCAUGAUGAUCCCCAAGGCCAAGCAGAAGCUAAUGAAGGGCUCGGUAGAAAUACGAUAGUUUGACAAGUAUGAAGCUAGCUAACAUCAGUAAUUAAUUCCGUGGCCUAAAAUGAAUCAAACCACCAUGCAAUGUUAAACACCGAGUUUGCACGUUGGCAGGUCUGCUUUCAAGAGGUGCAAUGUCGCCGCUGAUACCUCAGAGAUACAGAACAAGAGCCUGAUAACUUCUUCAAGAAAGCCUUGUUUUCUUAUUGAAUCUACCUCUGUUGAAAAGAGUCAAAUGAACUAACAAACACAUAUGCACAAUCUUCCGCCACGCACUUAAACAUCCAAAUACAAAAUUAAUACAGACACAAGAAAACGUAAACUCUAUACAACCAUUGGUGUUCUAGCACUAAACGCUGAUCUCUGGCUCCUACUUAUUGGGAGGUGAACAUAAACUUCAUGAACCUCUUGUUUACAAACAUCAUCCUUGUCCCUAUCAAUGGCAUAGCACACAUAUACGGUGUCAAUCACAUUAUCCAGCACAUUCACAAAGAAGCCCAGCACCACCAAGAGCAGUAGCCAUGCCAUAGCAGCAACGAAGUAUGCCUCCACACCAAGAUGCCCAACAGCUCUUACUAUAAGACAGACCUGCAUGAGGAAGACAGGAGUACAGCGUGUGAGAAUAAACAGAAACACAUUUACUCUAUAAUACAUAUUUUAAUAUCUAUAGCAAAUAUAACAUCCUGCAGAAUUGAUCCUCCACGUAGCUAAUCUUGAAUGCCCACAGUUAAAUAGACUUGAAUGCCAAUACCAACAUGUCAAAGCAUAAUGUGAAUAAAAGAAAAAGCAAAACGUCUCUCCCUCUCUCUCUCUCUCUCUCUCUCCCUCUCCCUCUCCCAACACACACACACACAUACACAUGCAAGCACAAAUACACAUGCAGAGACACAUUUUGGUGCAGGUUUCGCAACGGGAAAGGUCCAGAGAGGAUGCUUCAGCAAAGUUCUACCCGCAAUUUAACCAAAAACCUCAUUUAUCCCAUCUCUUGUGAUAAGCAACUUCAUCUGGUUGUUUUCAAACUUAAUAUUUGAUGUAGCCUGACUCAAUAAUGAGCAGAAUCUCACGAGUUUCAAUUUUAGCUUGCAGCCAAAAUAGGACAAAGUCUUCCUGGAAGCAAUAUCUAGCCAUGGAUGGUAAAUUGAUUAGGCACGUGUCACAGGCAAAUAAGUCAUAUGAUACUCAUUAUGUUUAUCUUUAUAAAACUAAUCUUUUAAGAUUCGGUGGUUCAGCCAUCCAACAACUAAGUUUAGAUUAUCUCACCAACAUGCAGUGUGCACAAAUAAUUACUUGUUAUGCCGAGUUCAGUCAGAAAAAAUUCAAGUCUAUAUUUUCUUCAAAUGGAAAAUUCACAAGGGACAAAUAGUGAACUCACCACUAUAGCAUAUAGUACUGAAAGAACAAAAAUUAUUCCUGCCAGAACACGAGUGGAGACAGUCUCCACAAAAGCGGCUGAGAGAAGAUUGCGCUUCAACAGUUCAUAGGUCAUCCUUGCAGAGGUGCAGUAAGCUUCACCAGUUAUAGCUGCAAAGUUUAUAGUGAACUUAUUAAGAAAGUCAAAUGCUGCCAUUAGGGCAUUCACACAGCACCGUAGGAUUAGGUUCACAAUUCCAGAAGCAUCUUCAUUCCUUGCAUUGUCAACCAUUGCUCGCACAAAGCGAACAACACCGACAAGCAAUCCAGAUAAACAUACCGUGCCCGAGGAGGGUCCAAAUGCAUUUCUGCACGUUUUCCAAAGAAAAAUGAGACAUUGGACAAAUCAAAUGGAGAAGAUCGCAUAAAAUAAACGCAUGUAAACAGUUUUACAUGCAAUUUGCCUGACAGUCCAUAUGUUAAAUUAAAUUUCUAAGCCAUUAGCACAAUAAAGCAUUAAAACACCAAAGAUGUACAUCAAUUUCAGCCCUCCAUAAGUUCAAAAAUAAUUAUCCUUCCUCUUCUCCCUUCAGGUGUUCUGCUUAUACAAGAAAAUGAUGGCAGUGCAACUCCAUUGCUAACAAAAGGUUUGUUCAUAUAUUUUAACAACAAUAGAUGAAUUAUCUUCAGUAGUAAUACACUUAAUACUAGUGCACUUUUUCAAGUUGUUUUAUCAGUAUGAUAUCCCUUCAAAAGUAAAAACAUGUAUUUGAGUUCUGACAACUAAAUUUUGGAUAAACUGUUGUGUAAUAAGACAAAAGGAUCAAAAGUCAUUUUGGAGUCCCCUGAAAUUUUGGAAGAAAAAUUACUCGUGUGACAAAAGGAAACAUUAAAUUGUAAUAUAUUGAAUCAGGUCAUAUCGCCAAGAUUUUGAAAACUUGUAAAUUACGAUACCUGAAUCUUGCUAAGCAAUCAUUGGCCAAGAAAUUUUGAAGCUUUUCAAGAAAGUGUUAAUUUUGUUUGCAACAGCUGAGCAGAAAAUACAUGCAACUACUUACAUUUGGAGUAGUAGUACCACAAGAAGUCAUUUCAUCCUACAAAGGUUAGAGCAUCUUCUCAAUUACAUUCUUCAAACUGCUUUUGGAGUUCCUAAACCCUUCCCCCCCCCCCUCCCCAAAAAAAAACAAAAAACAAAAAACAAAAAGGUGAUUGGAGUUCCAAGACCAGUGCCUACAAAUGCUAAGGAAGAUUUGGAGAUCCUUCUAGUCUUUCAUCGAAGAAUCCUGGAAUUGUGUAUAAACUAUGCUGACUUCUUCGAGGAUUACUAUCAAAACUAAGUACACUAAUAAGGAUGUAAUCACCAUAUAUAGCCAUUUUAACAGAUAUUGGAAGUACUAAACAGCAAGUAAAAUUCAUCUAAGUGCAACUAAUUUAAGAUACAGCUGUUUUUAUGAUUUCAAACCUAAAUGCUAAAUGAGUGCACAAGCACAAGCAGUAAAAAAUGAAUGCAUUUAAAAAACAAGACAUGAAAAGAUACUCAAGUCCCCUAUCUGUUGCAAGAUCAUCUUUAAGCUAUAUACCUGAUUGAGUAGAAACACAAUUGUCUUACUAAAUUGUCAUCCAGCAUAACUUAAAUAGGAUUUUUCUAUUGUGUGCCGUACGGGCAUGGCAUAAAAUGUAGGCCAACUACUUUUUGUCUGAAAAAACUUCCUAAGCAAAUGUAUACGCAACUUAAUUCUAAAGAGGUAUUCAAAUAUUUCCUUUAUCCUACCAUUUGUAUAAAAAUUCAAACUUUGGGUUCUACUAAACCACAAUCCAAGGCAGUAACAACGACUCACCUUCAAACCAUAGAAUCAUGACAGUGCAAAUAAUCAAUAGAUUACCAAAAUGACUAACAAGAAUCCAAACAUUUUACCAAGCUUUCUCAACCAACUCAAAAUUCAUUCAGAACUUGAAUUCUUAGGGGAGGUUAAAAGAGAGAGAGAGAGAGAGAGAGAGAGAGAGAGAGAGUAUAAAAGAGCAGGCCCAGAAAGUAACCUCAAGGCGCUUCUUAAACUUUUCUUGGGCCUAUCAUAAUCCUUGGAGAAGUACCAUUGAGCUAUAGUCCCACUAAUGACAUAAACUUGAGCUUCAAUCAUUGCUGUAGCAGACCAAAGCAUUGUCAAAAUGGCCAAGGCAUAAUAAGCGGGUACCCAACCGUCCUGUUUCCAAACACAAUAGUAUUCACCAUUCUUUUCCUUGGGCACAAUCUUCCCAUUGAAUCUAGCAAAAACCAAGAACACGACAAUGGGUGCAUAAUAUAAAAAUAACCCCAAAGUCAAUCCUGGGAGCACCCCAAACAACCCCAGAUUCUGCCAUAGCCCAUUUGCAGCCACCCCAAUUAUGUUAAUGGUCAACUCAAUCCGAUGCCAAUUGACUACAAAAAUCCAGAUUACCACCCCAAUUAUCAGCAAUAUGAAAACAAAAAUCAAAAUUCGGUAGGCUAAAGGAAGAGCCUCGCUACAUCUAGAGCUGACAUGGCAAGCAACAAACCAGUAGAUAUCCAGAAACACAGGAACUAUCACAAAGAAAGGAAGUGAUAUGUACACUAGCUGCUUGGUGUAAUGCUUGAGCAACAAAAGUACAAACAAAACAAAGGGCACGCUCAAAAUUAAGGUGAUGACAAGGGUCCAUAUCAAGCUCUUCAAAACACUCGAUUUUAAAGCGUUAAUCGAAAUUGGGCUGCUAAAAAAGGAGGGCUGUGUAACUUCGAGAAUGGCGCAAGUGGAGGAGGUGGAAUUGUAGAAAAAAGAGGAGACUUGGGAGUGGUGGGGGUUCCUGUGGACGGAGGCAAAGAUGCCGAAAGCGAAGGUGGCGAGGAUGAGGAGAGAGAAGAGGAGGAGGAAGGGCCAGUCUUUGAAGGGACGGGGGCCGUAAUUGUAGGAGAUCUGGAGGAGCUGGGAGUGGUCAUCGCUGGGUUGGGAGGUGGUGGGGCGGAGGGUCGCGGGUACGGGUGAUGCGGGGUGGUCUAGAGGAGGAGGAUAAGGCUUGGAGAGGAGAGGUUGGGUGGGAGUGGGGUCUUGGAGAGAGGAAGAGAGUUUGUUGGGGUCUUCUUUGCUGCUGUCCAUGGCAUCAGAAGAUGACUUGGGAGCAGAGGUAUCUGGUGGGGGUUGGUGAGGGAGGAGCAGGAGGAGAUGCAGACGGAUUUGGCGGUGGAGUAUUGGCUAAUUCUUUCCAGCUGAGUUGGGUUGAGCUCAGCUGACAGCAGCCGAGAUGAGUUGAGUUGAGUUGAGUUGGGGGCUGGAGAAGAUAAUCUUAAUCUGAAUGGUCGAUGGGUACAUCAGAUUUUUGACAAUUACCACCACUCACCCUCGUUAUUAGUGGUAUAUCUCUUCACACUCUGAAGAAUUAAUUAGGCCUAAUAAUUAGUAGCAUUAUUACUUAAAGGUAGCAGCCCCCCUUUUACCAAAGAUGAUUAUUGUGAUUCUGAUCCAGAGUGCCACCCCGCCAUAGAUAAUAAAACUUGUGUCUUCACCUCCAGACAGCACUUGCCUUUCCAUGAAUUUCUGUUUUCUUCGUGGACAAGCAAGGGAGAUUUCAACACUGCAUUUUAUAUCUGUUUUUCAGGAAAAGGACUUAGAAGCUCUCAAGUUUCUUGACUUCAGAAGAGUUAUUUGUUAGCAGUAAUACGCUUGUAGUAUUGCUUUUGAAAAAUGUUUCUUCAUGCAAAUAAAUAGAUAGAUAUUAAAAAAUUAAGUCCACAUGGUUAAGUACCUGAUAUGUUCCCAGCAGAACCUUCAAAAUAGGGAACAUCCAGUAAUCAUGGCUUGAUAUAAUAAUAAGUAAUAAUAAUAAUAAUAAACUUUAAAAUAAAGAACAAAUUAAUGUGGAUCGUUUACUAUUUGAGUCCAGAGAAACCAACUAAAAUUGCUCCCAGGAAGAAACAAAAGCUGUUGUAUUAUAAAGUUGGCAGUAUAGUCUAAUGAACAUGAUACAAAACAGUAAAACUGGCUGUAAAACAAUCUAAGCCGAAUUUGUCAGUUUUACGAUCCAAAACUUCCUGCCGGUUGUCAUCCCGACAUACUAGUGGCUGCAUUGCUGUUGUCCUCAUCCCACCGGCUCUUAGGUAUCUCUCCAGAAUCCACAAUAAUUACUUUCUUCCUGGGAUUCCCACUGUAGGUGCCU
rnacentral:lncRNA from 1 species